UUUUUUUUAAGUCAAAACGCACGGUUUCACUAGCCCCUGAGGCUCAGGCCGGGCCGGGCUGGAAGGCUGACCCAAGGAUCAAAAUCUUCUUGUAGGGACCUCAUGUAAUGCUUUUAGGAUAAAAACAUUGACGCGGUAGCCCCUAAGACUCUGACCAGGCCGGAAGGUCGGUUGAGGAUCGGAUCUUCUCUUCAGAAGCCUCUUGCUUCUGUGUUAUUUUUGAAAGGGACGUAGUAGCCUCUCAGACUCCAGCCUGGUCUAAGAAUCGAAACCUUUCCUUCACGAGCUUCUUUCUUCUCUCUGUUGUUUUGAAGGGGAUUCAAUACCCCUGAGACUGAGACUGGGCUGGAAGGAUGGUCUGAUGUUGAAAAAUUAGGGCAUAUCCAACGUGAUCACGCAUCUCAAGGCUCAACUAGCCGCCGAGCAGUAGAGGAGUGCCAACGUUAGCAAGCAGUCAAGGAUGUUUUUUCUCCCAGCACGCAUAACAGUGUAGUGUUUGAAUUCCUCGCCUUCAUUCGCGAUUAUUGCGUCACCAUCAUUUCCCAAGUCGUUUCUGUGAUUGGAUUUCUGCACUACUUUUCACAGCCUCAUCCAGAGUGUUUCUCAAUGGUAUUGCGGGCGACCCUAUCAAGCAUGGUCGUGGACUUCGGCAGGGGGAUCCUCUAUCCCCCCUGCUCUUUGUCCUUGCCAUUGACCCCCUCCACCGCAUGCUCGCUAAGGCCACCGAGCAAGGCAACCUUCACCCGCUGCGUGGAAAUCCGAUUCUGGCAUCCUUGUAUGCCGAUGACGCGACCAUCUUCGUUGCGCCAAUCAAGGAGGACAUCCAGUUCCUUGCCUUGACGCUGAGCUCCUUUGGUGAGGUCACCGGCCUUGUCACCAACUGCAACAAAAGUUUGGUUGCGCCCAUUCGUUGUGCCAACCUCGACCUUGAUGACAUCCUUCAGGCCUUCCCUGCUGUCUGGACCUCUUUUUCUUUGAGGUACCUUGGCCUUCCUUUAUCGGUCACGAGGCUAAAACGCAUCCACUUCCAGUACCUUGAGGUCAAGAUUGCGGGCAAGCUCCCACCUUGGUCGGCCAUGCAUGUGGCUGCCCCGGGGCGCAUCAUUUUGGUCAAAGCGGUUCUCACGGCCAUAGCAAUCUAUCACCUAACACCCCUGGAUAUCCCAAUUGGCGUGCGGAAGAAGAUCGAUAGCCUGAGACGUGCAUACCUUUGGGCAGGCUGCGAAAAGGUGUCUGGAGGCAAAUGUAAGGUUUGAACCUAGUCUGCAAACCCAAGAUUUUUGGUGGCCUGGGUGUUCUAAACCUCGAAAAAUUUGCCGCCGCCCUUCGGCUUCGAUGGCUUUGGUUCAAGUGGGCUGACCCACCUAAGACAUGGGCCGGAAUGGAGACGCCAUGUAGCAACGCUGACAGAGAUCUCUUCGCGGCGUUCACGACUGUGACCAUUGGGGAUGGUAAAAAGGCAAAAUUCUGGGAAUCGUCAUGGCUUAAUGGCCUUCGACCAAAAGAUGUGGCACCAAAGAUCUUUGAGAUAUCUAAAAGGAAGGCGUGUUUGGUCAGCAAAGCGCUUGAUAACAACUCCUGGAUUAGCCAGAUUGACACCUCUCAGGGCCUCUCUCUGGACCACAUCCAGGAGUUCGCCGCUCUCUGGGGGAUGCUACAAGAGGUUACUCUCAGCUUGGAUAGGAAGGAUAUGAUACUUUGGAAAUUCACUUCUAGUAAAGAAUAUUCGACGGCCACUGCUUACAUGGCGCAGUUUGCGGGACAAGUUCUCAGUCCGACCUCUACCACGAUCUGGAAGUCUUGGGCCCCACCGAAAUGCAAUUUUUUUGCUUGGUUGAUCAUUCAGAAUCGCGUCUGGACGGCCGAUCGGCUGCAACCAUGAGGAUGGCCGAAUUGCGGCCUAUGCCCCCUAUGCAAGCAGACUCAGGAGUCAGCUGUUCACCUUCUCUUCCAGUGUAGGUUCACCAUCCGAGUUUGGAACGAGAUCAUCGCUUGGCUUGGCAUUCAUGGCCAAUCUACAGCGACAUGGCAGCAUGAGGUUUCCGUCGAUGAUUGGAAGCUCAAAACGACCAGUUCCGGAGGCCACACCAAGAAGGCGAUCAUGUCAGUUAUGAUGCUUGUCUCGUGGGAAAUUUGAAAGGAGCGAAAUGCAAGAGUCUUCCGCAACACGGCCGCCCCGGCCACCGUCAUUGUUGCGAAGAUCAAAGAGGAAGCCCAUCUUUGGGCGCUAGCUGGAGCUAGUCAACUGAGUACUCUUAUGUCGCAACAAUAGUCUUUCCUUUGUUUUUGCCGUGCUGCGGCUUAUGUCUAAACCUUCUUCUUAAUUAAUGAAAUGGCAAGCCUUUUGCCUUGUUUCAAAAAAAAAAAACUCUUGUCGUGGCAUUAUGCUUGGAAGGCAGUAGCAUACCCAAAAAGAAGGUGUAGAAAAGAACAGUCGAUUCUCUCAUCUGCACACGAAAGCGAAGCCAUGUUCAUCCAUGCAAGUUUGAGCAGAAAAAAAGAUUGUCGAUCCUACAGUACCGAGAGUCAAAUCCACACACCAUAUAUAUUACGUACAUGAUUAACCACAAACACAACCCUUUUGCUUUGACUAAACCAAGUUUUCUCUGACCAUAUGCAUCUACCAAGUACCAUCCCAUCUGUAACCGUGGUACUAUGAUGUUCCUUUCUUUUUUCCUUUGCAAGACAAGAGAGUUUGUAGUAGACAUCGUAAAAGAUCUCUUGCAGUUUUCACUACACAAAAUGCGUCGUGGAUGAAGUCUAUGAGUAGAACUUGUAUGUCUUGGAAUCCAAGAUGAUCUGUCUGAGCCCUCCGAUUGGCGACAGGAUCAUCAGGCACACCCCAAGGACGAUGCAGACCUGAAGAUCGUGGCACAACACACACACACAAAUUAGGCCGGAGUUGAGAUUAACUUGGGAGAUGCAUAUAUAUAAUGAGAGAUAUAUAGCUUACCCAGUUGGUGAACCAUGAGAGGCUGAAUCUUUUGGGCUUGUAGAUGGCGAGCCACAUGAUACAGGGGAGCUGCAGGAAUAGCAGGUGUUGACUUGGAUUAGGAAAUCUGUAUUUUUACCGAUUCCUAUGAUCAACUGAAGUGGAGUUGAUGAGAGAAAUGCUUACGAAGUAUGUGGUCGGCGCAAAGGCGAACCCGCCGAAGAAUCCGAGCAGGCCACCGAAGAAAGGGAAGGUGAUGGCGACGAACAUGGUGAACGCUGCAAACGUAUGGAAUCUCGUCAGUCUUAUUCGUUGCUACACGCCAUUUUUGGCUUUUCGGGUGGGGGGCCUUACCAACAUAGAGGGUCCGGGCAAUCAAGCGGAGCGUGAGGCCGGGAGGGAACUUGAGCUUCUUCACCAGCACCGUCUCGAUCAUGUCGAACACCGGCAUCGCGUAAAUCUACAACAUGGCGGCGCCGUCGAUCAGGAUUCAGGCAUAUACUAGAGCUUGUAUAUAUGGAUAGCAAAAAGAUUUGUUGGAAUGUGUGUGUGUGUGUGUACCUGGUAGCUUCCGAUGACAUGGAUGACAACCAUCAUGUUGGCGGUGGCGAUGAGCCAGGUGGGCUUGUUGAGGGUGAUGAGGAUGUUGUCGUCGACGCUGUUGCCGAAGGCCCAGUAGCCGAUGAGGGCGACGGGGAAGUAGCAGAGCGCGACGACGAUGUAGGCCACCACCACGCCCUUCCACAUGGGCUUCUUGGACGGCUUCUCCGGCGUGGACGGGAUGGUGGCCUGGAUCUCCAGCACCACGUUGUGGCCGGCGUACGCGAACGCCACCUCGCCCAGCGCCCCGAAGAAGCCGAACACCUUCCCCGGCGUCGUGGUGGCGCGGAGGUUGUAGUCCACGUCCACCAUCUUCCCCUUGUCCACCGACGCGCCCCACGCGAUGGUCGAGUAGGACAGCGACAUGACGGCGGCGGCCAGGGACACGCCGGAGAUGGAGUUCAAGUUUGGGAGCUGCGAGAGCACGAAGUGCACCGACGCGAAGAUCAUGAUGAAGAAGGUGAGCUUGAUGUCCUUGCACUUGCCGUCGCAGAUCACGUCGUGGAACUUCUUGAGCGACCUCCCGCCGGUCACCAUGUACACGAUGUUUACGCCCACCUCCACGAUCAGCUGCUGCGGCACCACGAUCCACAGCCCCAGCUUGUCGCCGAAGGCGUGCUGCCCGAGCUCGUGGUACCUGUCGAACCGCUUCCCGGGCACCAUCUCGUGCAUCUCCACCAUCUGCCACAGCGUGUAGAGCGUGAUCACCCACGAGAUGAUCAGCACCGCGAUGCCAGGGCCCCUGUGGAACCAACCAACAAACAAACGUUAUACUCUGCUAGAUUAGUAGGCGAGGCAACAGUAGGUAGUGGUGAAUCCAUUGAAUGGCGUACCAGCCGAGCUCGGACAUGGCGUAGGGGAGGCUGAGCACCCCCGCGCCCACCAUGGCGGUGACAUUGUGGAAGGCCGAGUACCACCACUUGGCGUUCCUCGACGACGUGAUCGGGAGCCAGUCGUCGAUCUUCUUCUGCUCAUCCGUCCUGACAUCCUGCGAUCAAGUAAUCGCCAUGCUUGUUAGCCAUGAACCAUGCACAAAACCUCAACAAAAAUCCUACUAAAUGAAAUAUCUACUACCAAAAAGUAGGAACCAUAUAUCCAUAUCUAAAUUGUGUACCACAUAAUCUACUUUCUCUAAUCUGUUGAAACCUUCUUGCAUUUCCAUGGCUUUCUUCUCACGAAGCGGUGAAAGAAAGGGACAGGUAAGCCGCAAGAAGUUUCAACCCAAUGACGGGACGUCUUUGAAUUUUGUAGGUAAAAUGGAGUGCUUAGAGAUUCCGUUUCUUCUCGGCAGUUGACUUGCCGGAUGGCCAAGUAGUCGGCAAAGUCAAACUCCAGAUGCUUAAUUAUCACGGCCACCUCAUGGCAAAGAUAACCUAUUUAUUUUAUCAAGCACGUUCACAUGACAACGGUAACACACUUGUUUAUAGUAGUAUUGAACUGAAGAGGCCAAUCAAACCAGGCUGUGAUUUCAAAGCUGUGGUUGAAAGUUGAAACAAGAUCGGACCUCUUUAUGUACACCAAGUGGCAGCAGCUUGCAAGUGAUUUCUCAAAAAAUAAAAAAUAAAUAAAGCUUGCAAGUAGCAGUGCCAGUUGUUACUAUAUCCUAGUUAUAUUACUCCUGACACAUCUAAUCUAUAAUUAACAUAUUGUCGUUGGAGAACGUGACGCUAAUCUGCUGGAUUACUAUGUGUCUAAUUCAUCUGGCUUGACCCCUUGUUAGCUGUGAUGCAACCUCAUGGCAGCAGCUGGCAAAAUGCCAACGGCUAUUCCAAUGUAUAGCAGUGUGAUACUAGUAGUAUAACAGAAUAUACUAAACCUACUUGUAAGCGAUGCUUUUGUCUACUCGUCUAGCAUUUUCAUUAAUAUUAAAUUGGUUGCAUACAUCCCAGGAUACAGGGACGGAUGUUUUACCAUCCUUCUUGAAAAAUAUAUUUAUAUUUGUAUUUUUGAAAUAAGGUGAAAAAGGCAAUUCGUUAUUGUGUAACCAUGUGUACAAAGGUGGCUGUGGCUUCCGGAACUUCUGAAAUAAUUAUGUUAUGUCGGAAUAUGAAAAUUCUGCUGGGAGAAAUAUCCGUUCUCUCGGUGGGUGUGGGGUUUCCCACAAAAUUCCUAUGAAAAUUAUACACCCUCUGCUCCUAAAUAUUAUAAACUGCAAAAACGUCUUAAAUUUCGAAACAGGGGAAGUCCUAUCCUGACUGAGCAUGUACAGUAAUAUUCUCUCAGUAAAAAAAAAUUGCGAUGGCUCUCAGUAAAAUUUCACGGUGGUAAUAAACAGGUAGGGGCCCUUGAUGCGUCAUUUGAGGUUCCAAGGAUCAUCAAGUGCAAAUUGCGGCAUGAAAAUUCUUGCAAACUACAAAUUGUGGAGUAUUCUUCCUGGUUUCGGACGCUAAGGCGAAACAUAGGACAAAGUACUCAAAAGUACAGGCGAUCGUUCAUACUUCAUAGUCAAGAGAAGGUGAGCGGGCCAUGCGAGAGAGACAACGAGAGACUUUUUCAUUCUUAUUUUUGCUUCAUGUGAUUUCUGAAUCGAAAUUUGUUCUAAGCGAGUCAAAAUUACAGCGCAAGGGCACUCCAGUGGGCCAGAACUAAUUUUCAGAGAACGGAAGAGAGAGAGAGAGAAGGCAGAAUUGGGCAGUUAAUGCAAAGCAUCGCAAAUCACACCGAUCCUAUGACGGGCAUGAUUCAUAGAUACUUUAAUUGCUGCAUCUUCUAGAGAGAGCGAGAAAAGGGGAGCCGAAGCAAAAAGUAGUAGGGAGAAAUCAAGGGUGUGAAGGUGCGAGGAGGGCUUUGUUUUCACGUGCGGAAGACGAACUGGUAGGGUACCGGUGUAGCUACGAACUGGCUCGGCGGGGCCAAGCCAUCCAUCCGGUUGGGUUUUUGGCUGGUCGGUGUGCCACUAGCUGCCGGCGAGGAGACGGAAGGGAAUCAUCCCCCAUGGAAACGCAUCCAAGAAGCCGCUUUUUGCCUCCGCCUUUUCGUCCGGGUUUGUCCAUUUCACGUCAUGUCCACCUCUGAAGCUAGCUCCAUGCUUCUCGCACCAACUCAGAUUCUUGAUUCUCUCUAAAACUUUUACUGGGUAUCUAUCUAAAACUUUUACUGGGUAGUAUCUUUCUUUUGGUUGAUUAACAGGAUGAUUUGCGACUGUAAUUUUCUUAACAGCGAGAUGGGGAGAGGAGAGGGAGAGAGAGAUUGAUUGCUUAGCAGGAGCACGUACCUUGGCCGGCGGUUCGAAGUUCUCCGCUGCCUGCGUCCCCAUGUUCUGCCGGCCGGCCUUGCCUUGAGCAAUGGAGAGUAAAGAGAGGGAGAUGUGCGAGAGGAGGAUGUGCAGAGAGAGAGAGCGAAAGAGAGAGAUAUAAAGAGGCGUUGGACUGGUCUCUUCUUUAUAGAGCAGAGCAGAGAGGCGCGCGGGCGCAGAUAUCGCGCCUGGUUGACCAUUGACUCCAGCGCGGCAGCAGCAACUCUGCCAAGAUCCCCCUGGCCCAGCAAUCGGGGCCCUCUGUGCGGCUGGCUGCGCCGUCAGAUCUGGCUUCUACGGCCCACACGAGUCAGGCUCCGCUCGGCAGGUUUUACUUCUUGUUUUUUCGUCACGCAGACAAAUAAGCUUGAGGAAAAUGGCACAUGAAAACCAAGGAACAGGGGCUUUGGGAAAGAUGGGGGCUCGUAACAUGAAGCGGCAGACCGCUAGGGAUGCUCCAAGGUCCAUCAAAACACGACAGAUACUCCUCUCCUUGUUUUUUGACGAUCCAAAAUACUCCUCCUCCUCGUGAUGUCCAAGCCCAGCGCAGUUCGUGUAACUCACGUUCGACGGCUCCCCAUUUGGCGCAGCGUGUAAGUUUACAAAAAAGAAACAUAUCGGAAAGACCUGAUUCGUCUACAUUUUCUUUUCACCUCCAUCGGUGCAUCUGGCGCCAUUUGGACUGCGUGAGCACACACAAAUGUGUGUGUAGACACAGCUGUGGCUGGCUAGCAGGGGAGUUCGAUGGCCAGCUGUACGCGUAUGUAGGCGCGGGAUUUAAACAAAACAAUUCUAUCGAGCUGUGCUGUUGAGGGAGACGUGCCCAUGAAAUGCACGGCCAGGGCCGGCUUCCUUUUUUUUCUUUUCCUUUUACUACUCCUAGAAAACGAUUUAUUUGAGCGGGUGCCCGUGGACGCUUGGUUUUUUCUUUUUGAAACUGUGGACGCUUGGUUAAAUCCAUCACGCGUACUUGGUGUCCCUAACGAUGAGACAAGGGGGACCAAACAUGUAUACAUUGGGGUUUGUCCUUCUCCAUGGGAGCGCUAGCUAUGACAGGCAGCACGGUGCAAGAAUCAUAUUCCCGCUAUUUUUUAUUCGAGAGUACCCAAAUUGAGUACCUUAGCUUUAUAGAAAGAGAGAAGAACAAACAUAUAACGAUAUCUACCACUCGCUGCGAACAACGAGCGUAGCAACAUUACAGACAACACACACGCACACACACAGGUACGACGCCAAUGAGCCUACCCAAAACCACGAACCUCGCCGCGUCUCGACCAACACCGGUCAUCUCCGAAGAACAGCAACUCCAGCUUCCUUGGAUAAACCAGCGACGACCGUACAUAGCGCCUGAGAGGAGCGAUCCGGGCAGUCGCGAACAUCGGAGGAGCGCAACAAAGGGCCUCUCGUCUCCCAGCACAAUGCUCUCAACAGAGGAACGACGUCAAAGACACCGCCAUCAUGCCAAUCCUGCGAAUCAAGGCUUUCGCCCCGGAGACAAUUGCCGCCACCGGGCAACGAAACAAAUGGCAACACACACGGCGACGCUUCCAGGAAGGGAAAUGACAUCCACGGAUGCCAUCGACGCCGGUCCGACCAAAGGCGAACAUGAUUUUCAUUCGUAGCGCUGCACAUCUCCACGCCGCCAAGAUCAUGGCCAACCCUGACCGAAGCCUUGCACCGCCGUCACUGUAGCAGCAUGCAAUCGAAGCCACACCAACGAGAACCACUCCAACCUCACUGCCGAGGGAGGACGCCUCAAGCCACCGCCUGCAACACAAACGAAGAACCGCAGCAUCCGCCGAGCAGUGCAAGGACCAGAACCACCACGACGGCCUUCGCCCGCACCAGGGGACUGCCAACCGAUCCGGUCUGACCCGCACCUCGAACCACUCUCCGGCACCAACUCCGUCAAGGCCUCACCGCGCGCCUCACACGGCUGCAGCCGAGCGCCCGCUGCCCGCCAGGACCCUUCCUAGUAGGGCCUCGCAGCGCCGCCGCCUCCAUGGUUGCGCUCACGCCGCCGCCACGAACGGUGCCGGUGCACCACCAACUCCCACCAGCCUGCUGCACCCUACGCCAGGCUCCAGACGACCGCCGCCAGCACACACCCCGCUGCGAGCCCCGUCGCCGCGUCGCUGCUUCACAUGCAACUCCACUGGACGUUGCCACUGCCCACUACCACCACCGCCGAAUAGGGCUGCCACCGGGAGCCUGGACGCGCCGCGCCGCCAGGUGCUCCGCCGAACGAGAUCCCAUCUGAGGUAGGGAGGAGAAGUCGCGCCGCCCGACACCGCUGUCACCCAAGUAGCAACACCGGACGAAGCUGAAGCCCACCACCACCUCCGCUGAACAGGGCUACCACCAGAGCCUAGGCGCGCCGCGCCGCCGAAAGCUCCGCGGAUGAGAUCCCGUCAGGGGGAAGUGAGGGGGAGCCGCCGCCGACCACCGGUGCCGCUGCGCGACAACAUGCGCCAGAUCUGGGCCGCCCGAACACCUAGCGCGCAUGCCCGACACCUCCUUGCACAGCCAGGCCGCGCCAUAGCGCGCCCACCAGACACAGUCACCCCGCUCACCGCGCGCCCUCCAGGCGCCAGAUCCACGCAUGUCCACACCGCGACCUGCGCGCCCGAGCCAACCAGCGCCGCGACGCCGAGGGAGAUCAUUCCUGCUUUUUUGUCUCGUGAAAUCCGGCACAAUUACUUGCUACAUAUGCAUUGCUCCGAGGGAGCAGAUUCCACUCUGCAAUUCACUCGGAAAUUUCACUGUGGGUGUGCUUGAGAGUGCACCUACAGCAAGCGGACGUCCUCCCGUUAUCAAACUUAUUACUCGAGGUCACUUUCUGUCCUCUCCUGUGAAUUUAGCCUCUAGUCUAGUAAAGUGUUUGUUGUUAUCGACCGCUGUGGCCUCUACGAUGACUUCCCGCCCUUCCCCUUUGUUGUUGUAGCACUCUGGUUGGAGGCCACGUGUCAAAAGCCACACGUUUGUGAUUUACAUGCUUUACAUAUCAUGUUUUGCUAAUGUCAGGUACCUACAGAAAUUUCAUGCAUCAGUCACUUCUACGCAGCGCGAGGCUAAAGGCGGGAACGACAUGAGGAGCGUCGACCACGGCGAGGCCAGGCCGUGUGCGAGCCGGCGAUAGUCGGCGGGAGCGAGUAAGAAACUUAACCGGGGGCGAGGGAAGGGGGCACCGGAGUUGUUCAUCGGGGCAGGGCUUAGAGGCAUGGCGGGGAGGGGGCAAGGUUCUCCACACCUCCGUGGCUCAAAGGCCUUUGGAGACAUGGUGGCGCUGAUAGGAGGAGGAGGAGGAGGAGGAGGAGAGCCUAGAAUCUCUUUUGGAGGAGGAACUAAAACCAGUGGCGGACCCCAAAAUGCUAGGGUGAGGAUGAGGUGAAGUUGGGUUGGGCCUUUUUAAUUAUUAAUUUCAUUUGUUCAGCAGGUAUAUGGGUUGGGCCAAGAUCUUAGGGAGGGCCUAGCUCCACCCUACAUCCUACUGGAUCCGCCCCUCUGACUAAACCGUUAGGAGUUGGUCAUAAAGCAAAUCCUUCGACGAUUUGCAAUCCACGGACAUAUUGCGACGACAGUUGAUGAAUCGAUUGGAAGAUUUUACAAAAGAAAAAACAUUACAAUAAGGGGAAAGUGGAAUUCAAUUGUAAUUAUAUCGUGGUCUAUCUCUCUUAGCUAUACCGUGUCCAAAUGGUUUAAACUAUUGUAGUAGUGAACUUUGCAGCUGAUUAUGCAGGGUACUAUUAAUCAUCAUGUGACCCUGUUCGUGAGAUUGAAUCAUCAUAGUACAAUGAAUGUCACAUACUACUAGCAUCUUAGCCAUCUACACCUUUUCUGCAUCAGCUAGAUCCAUGCAAAAGGCUACAGAAAGUGAGAUUCCUGGUGGGAGAUCAACAGGUGGCAAAAUUUCAUGUUUUGGCCCUUUUCUGAAACCUAUUUGAGAUCUGACCCUAGUUUGAAAUUUUUUCGAGAUCUGACCCUUUUGCUACCGCCGGGGUCCAUGGCGGUAGGAUGUAACAGCCUACCGCCAGAGAUCUUGGCGGUAAGAAACAUCCCUACCGCCAAACAGACUGGCGGUAGCCUGUACAACCCUACCGCCAAGGUGCUCGGCGGUAGGCACGAGCACGCACUGUGUUCAAUACUUAGGAGAAUUUUGCGGUAGGGCAUGCAACCCUACCGCCAGGGACCUUGGCGGUAGGCUAUUAUACCCUACCGCCAUGGACCCUGGCGGUAGUAAAAGGGUCCGAUCUCGGAAAAAAAUUAAACUAGGGUCAGAUCUCGAAUAGGUUUCAGAAAAGGGUCAAAACACGAAAAUUAGCCUCAACAUGUCACUCUCCAUCCUCCUCGCCUAUGGUGGGCCUGACUUAGAUUCAUGCACGCCCAACAACCGGUGAGGGUAGAAUAUUCCUUUCACUUUACGACCCAAACAUUUUGGAAAAAUGUAUAGCUACCUAGCUCUGGGGUUCAAAAAGGAAAAUGAGGGAGCAAAUUGGGUGGACGCACAGCCAAAGCAGCCUUUUCGGCUGCACAUCACCUCAGCAUCAUGCACUGAUCAUCAUAAGAGCCAUGCUUAAUUAGCAUAGGUUAAAAAUACUCAGAUGCAUAUCCAUCUAUCAAGAACCAAUCAUUACACGAAGCACAAUAUCGAAAUUUAUUAACGAAGUUCGUUGAACACCGGCUAAUCUCUGAGGCAUGACUAUAAGCGCUUCUCGGCACCUUGGCCACCCGCAGUGGUGGAGCUAGACAAAAGUCGUCGUGGGGGCAAGACAAGAUAUGACUAUUUAACCGUCAAAAGCUAAAAAUUACAUAUCUAGGCCAUCCAACAAAAAAUUCUUCGGAAAGUUGUUUAUAGCCGGGGGCAAUGCCCUCCCCCCCCCUCCCAGUCUAACACAUAGCUCCCAUGAAGCAAAGAACAACUUCAUAGAUUUUUUUAAUGGCACAUGUUUUAGUGUGAUUGUUCACUCAUUUCAGUUUGUAAGUAGUCCAUAUUGAAAUAUCCCAAGCAUGUUAUACUUUCUCUAUUUUUGUAUACAAUGUCACUCUAUUUUUGUGAAAAACUUUGACUUGUAACUUUAGUCAACAAAAUAUGGGUUCUAUGUCAUUAGAAACAUAUCAUUGCAAAGUUGCUUGAAAUGUGCAUCCGAUGAUAUACUUUUUGUGGCACAUAACUCAUAUUUUGUUGGUAAAUUAAUGAUCGAAGUUAGACAUAAAAAUAUGAAGCGGUGUUGUAUAAAAAGACAGAGAGAGUAAUUGUGAACGGGGGUAGUACCAAAUAUACAUUGUAUGAAAAUAUAGUUCGUGAUGAAUCUAAUGACAAAGAUUUAGUAUUCUAAAUUUUCACAUUUUUCUGGAAACCUGUCAAAGUUUAUAUAGUUUGACUUUAAAAUGACCUACGACUAUUGUGAGAUGGAGGAAAUAUAUUAUAAGCAUUCAUUAGUAAAAAAAAUGUUUUGCAAAAUGUUUGUGGCCCAUAUUGGAUCCGCCCAUGGCCACCCGGGCGCCGACACAAAACCACCGCCUCCCCCUGCAUGCAUGUCCAACAACAAGUCUGCAAAUUGUUUUUAGAAGAACAGGGGGGCCCUCCCUGGUACCAUUUUAUCGAAUGAAACCAAAUCCAGUUUUUACAUCAGCUCACUGAGAGGAGCAGUUCAGAAGAAAGUUGUGGCUUAAGCCACUACAGGUUUUCGCAAUAGGUUUACAUAAGCAAUGCGGCGCGACAGGGGACCGUAAGCGCUACACACACACUACACAGCAUCAGAUGCAGAUCAGCUCCUGGGAUGCCUUGCGGCGGUGCAGUCACCGCUUGAGGGGACCAGGCAGCCACCAGGGCCGAGGUUGGGCUCGACAUCAUUGCAGCUUCAGAGCGCUUCUUGGAGGGGGACGAAAAGCCCACUGCGUCGUCCGAGAUCUUCAGCUUGUUCCACGGGGUCACCAGCGGGGCUUCAGCGCGCUUCAAGAUCAGCCACUGAUCAUCAGUGGUUGUCUCAGUUGGGUCGCGAGGUGUGUUGUGAAGGCCUCCAGCCUUUCCAUAGCCCCAUCCGAGGACAGGAUCACCCAGCUCUUGAUAGUUUUUAAGAUCAGCCUCAUCACCUGCUUAAUCGAUGUCCAUAAGGUGUUAUUGAAAACCAUAGAGUUCCUAUAUUUCCAGAUACACCAAAGUAUAGCAGCAUUAGCAGUGUUGAGGGCAGAGUGUUUUUUGUUAGCAAUCCAGAGUCUGGCCACUGAUUCAAAGUCAGUUCCAGUAUCCACCCCGAAAUGACUUGAGAUUAGAGGCCAAAUCUGUCUAGAGACUACACAGUCAAAAAACAAAUGCGAGCAUGUUUCAGCCUCAGAGCAGAACACACAAUCAAGUGGCUUAAUAAUCUGUCUUUUCCUAAGGUUAUCCCUGGUCAUCAGCUUGUUGUUGGCAAGGAGCCACAGGAAGACAUGAAUUUUUGGUGGAAUUUUAAGCUUCCACACCGAGGGGAUGAAGACUGGUUGCACCCCCCUGAAGUUGAUCACAUGGUAGAGUGAACUUGUGGAGUAAACUCCUUUGUUCUCUAGCUGCCAGAUAAGGGCAUCAGUGUCAUUAGUAAGGGUCAGGCUACCAGCUAUCUCUACUACUUGGUACCAUUGCUCCAUGAGCAUGUCAUCAAAAUUCCUUCUAAAUGUGAGUUUAAGUUGGGUACCAUCCCAUACUUCCCUGACACUUUUGGUUUUCUCAUUGCAUAACGAGUAGAUAGGCCAGAAUUGCACUGCUAAAGGGGAGGUACCAAACCAGGUAUCUUCCCAAAACCUAACUUUUUCACCUGACCCAACCUUCCACCUGUAACCAAAUUUCAGCGCUUGGAUGAUGGUUUUCAGACCCUUCCAGAACCUGGAGGCACUGGGGGAUAGGUUAGGCGCAAAAAUGUUAAUCUUACCAGCCAUGUACUUGUGAUCAAUGAUCAUUUUCCAAGGUUUUCCUUCACUUUCAUAGUAUCUUUUCACCCAGGAACCUAACAAACACAAGUUGACAUCUUGGAGAUUUGGGAUUCCCAAGCCUCCAAAUUCUUUCUUCAUACACACCAUCCUCCAGUUGGCUAGAUGAAGUUUCCUAUGGCCUUCAAAAUCAUUCCACAAACAGUUAGCCAUUCGAGAGUUGAUCAUCUCAAUGGCCCAUUUAGGGAACUUGAAGAAGGAUAAUAGGUAGAUGGGGAUACUGGCUAGGCAAGCCUGGAUCAAAAUAGGCCUACCUCUAUAAGAGAGGAGCCUACCUCUCCAACCAGCGAUUCUUUUCAUAAUCUUAUCUAUAAGAGGUUGGAUAUCCUCCUUCCUAAGUUUGUCAUGGUGCAGAGGGAUACCAAGGUAUUUAAUAGGGAAGCACCCCCCUUUACAAUCCAGGACAGAAAGGAAAGGCAUAAAUUGAGAAUCUACCAUGUUAAUUGGGAUCAACUCACUCUUAGAGUAGUUGAUCCUCAUCCCAGAAACCUGCUCAAAACAGGUGAGGAUAGUUUUGAGGUUGGAGACAUGGGUAAUGUCAUUAUCCAAAAAGAGAAGGGUAUCAUCAGCAUAUUGCUGACAAAUAAUCCCUCCAGUGCAGACUUCAUUACACAAUCCAGUAAUCAAGUUACUAUUAGCUGCUUUGGACAGCAUUUUGGUCAGCACAUCUACUACUAAAUUGAAGAGGAGGGGGGAAAUAGGGUCUCCUUGCCUGAGCCCUUUCCCAGCUAAUAAGAAAUUGCUUUCAGUAUUGUUAAUUUUGACCCCAACAGAGCCACUAUGGGUGAUCUGUUGAGUCCAAUCAAUCCAAAUACUACCAAAGCCUCUCUUCUUAAGAAGGUCCAGAAGAAAACUAAGGUCUACUUUGUCAAAAGCUUUUUCAUAAUCUAGCUUCAGAACUAAACCUUGUUUUUCCCAGAAUGGACUGAGUGCACUACUUCAUGAGCAGUUACCACACUUUCCAGGAUGUAUCUGCCUUUGAGGAAGGCAGAUUGCUUACUAGCAAUCAGCCUCUGCAGAAUCCUAGUCAGCCUGUUAGUGAGGACCUUAGUGAAAAUCUUAAAACUACAGUUGAUCAGGCUGAUUGGUCUAAAUUUUUUCAUAGCAGUAGCAUCAGGUUCCUUAGGGAUGAGAGUAAGCAUAGCAAAGUUAAGCCUGUGUAUGUCUAACUCCCCCUUAUGGAAAUCAUUAAACAUGGCUAUUAGGUCCACCUUAAUCAACUCCGAAAAAUGUUGAUAGAAGAAGAAAGGAAUCUCAUCUGGUCCAGGAGCACCAUCAGGGUAGGAGUCAAAGACUGCUUUCUUUAUUUCUUCUUCAGUAAAAGGUGCUUCUAGGGUUUCAUUCUCAGCAGGUGUGACUAGCUCAUCUGCUGAGAAGAAAUCAGAGCUCAGUGUGAAACCACUGUUGUGAUCUUUUUUAAAUAGAUCUUUAUAGAAGUCUCCUGCUACUUUAAGCAUAUCUUUAAUGUCAUGGAUAGGCCCAUCAGGGGCAUCUAAAGAGUGGAUGAGGGUUUUCCUCCUCCUUUGAUUAGCCACUGCAUGGAAGUAAGCAGUGUUCCUGUCCCCUUCUUUAUUAUCUCUAUCUCUAAAUCUUUGUUAAGCUUUAUUUUCUUCCUGAAGCCAAAUCUUCUGAAGUUCAGUAUGAACGAAUUUCAUUCUGCCAAACUCUUCUUCAGAAAGGUCAGAGGUUUCAGAUUUAACAUCCAAAGUGUCAAAUUCCUCCACUAAAAUUUUCUUAUAUCUCCUAAUGUUAGCCUCUUCAUUGGAGUUCCAGCCUUUAGAGACUCUCCUGAGGCUUCUAAUCUUGGUCUGCCAGUUGUCUAGGCUAGAUGCAACAUUUUUUGGCUCAGACCAGAUUUUGUGGAUAAGAUCAGAAAAAUCAGCUCUAAGAAGCCACCAUUUUUCCAUUUUGUAACUACUUUUCCUAGGUUGGACAUCAACCCCAGAAUCCCAGAGGAGGGGGGUGUGGUCACUACCACAUCUAGGGAGAGAUCUACAUGUAGCCAGAGGGAAAAGAGCAUCCAUGUCAGUAUUGCAGAAGAGCCUAUCAAUAGUAGACAUGAUGAGGUCCACUUGGUUAUUAGCCCAAGUGAAUUUUCUGCUAGAGAGCUUGAUCUCUAGCAGUCCCCAAAUCUCAAUCCAAGCAUUGAAGUUAUCACUCCAUCUAUGAUUGAUUACUCCAUUACUUUUCUCUUUGGCAUUCCUAACUAGAUUAAAAUCCCCUCCAAUCAGGGUGGGCAUGUGAUUGUCUACAAACAAAGUGUGCAGCUCAGAAAUAAAAGCUGCCUUGCCCUCUUCAUAAGAGGAGCCAUAGACUACAACAACCCUAAAUAGAUGACCAAGACUUUUGUGUCUUAACUCACAGCUGACAGAAAUGUUUAAAUGUGACCAGGAGGUCACCUCAAAGACAUCUUGGUCCACUCCCACGAGGAUGCCCCCAGCAGUGCCUGUGGCAGGGAGGUGAUGCCAGGCAAAAUCUCUAUGCCCAGUUAAAGAUUUAAGGUAGGAAGGGGAGAACUCCUCCUUCUUGGUUUCUUGAAAACCUAUGAUAUUGGCAUGGGUUUUAGCUAAAGUGUCUAUGAUGAGAGGUUUUCUGCCUGCAGCUGAAAUACCUCUAACAUUCCAGAAUAGGGCAUUCAUUUAACUAACUCUGUUCUGGGGUGCUUGCCCCGCCUAUUCUUUCUAACUAGUGACCAGAGACCAUCAUUAGGACUGGAUGGUGGGUCCGUAAUGAUUAGCUGCUCAGAAGCAGGCUCUGCAAGCUCAGACACACGACCUUCAGUCAUGGUCUGACUUUUGUUCAGUUCCACUACAGUGUGUGAAGAAGAAACACUAGUAGUAUUCCUUAGUUCAACCUGUACUCCAAUGCUAGUGGCAACUGAAAGAAAAGCAGGGUCAUUGAAAAUGUUAAAAGAGUUUUGAUUCUUACCAUGUGGUUUCUGGACUUCCAGGUUCUGGACCUCCUUAAGCUGUUGAGCCUUUUCCAUGAUGGUUCUUUUGUCCCGAGCAAUCCUUGAACUCAUCCUAGCAGCUUGGACAGGGCCCCACUUCUUGGUGUCAACAGCAGAUUUCAUGAUAGGAAAAUUAACCUCGUAUUGCUCUUCAAGCAGCAGUUGAUUGGCUUCAGUGGCAGUAUCCAAAACUUCAUUCUCAUCAUCAGUCCCAGUCUCAUCUUCCCCCACCAGUUCCAUUUCCCUCAAAAGGUUGAAUCCCAUAGAGUCACCUUGCUCUGAAUUGAGCAACUGUUCAAGAGCUUGUAUCCUGGGGAGGUACUGAGACUCAGGCAGCUGGUUUCUGAGCAUGGAGGUUGGGGUAGAAGCCUCAUGGGAGUGUUGCUGCCCUGAAACUUGAGUUCUGUGGGCAGAGUUACCAGUUCCAGUAAGGGAGCCAGAAUCAGAGCCAGUUCUGGAUCCUUGCUGGGAUCUCCCAUCAUUAGAGGCACUGUCUUUAGACAUUGUUUCCAGGGAUGUAUUGGUAUCCAGUGAAGGGUUGGUUGCAGCUAUGGCUUCAUCACUGUCGAUUGGCUCCACUUCAAACAACAGUCUGUAGAUUUUACCCUUGAUGCCAAAGAGUCUCUCUACUGGGAUUUUAGUAUGAUUUUUGCAAGAGAUCUUUACCCUAACUGUCUCAUAGAAAGAUUUGAAGUUGUGCUGCCAGUCCACAUCCAACAGCACCCCCAAAGUGGAAGUGAUUUGAUCAAGCAUUGACCAGUCACACCAUUUGGGGUUCAUUUUCCUGAUUUUGAUCCAGAUCUCCUGCAGGUCAUCCUCUGCUUCCACAUUACCUUUCCAGACUUCUACAUUGACAAUUACAUUGUCUUUCUUCAGGCCAAAGCAAGGAUAGCUUGCCACAUGAGCUACAUCUAUUUCUGGAGGAAAUUUCACCAAGAAAGUCCAGUCAUCCAGGGCAUUGAUAGGCCAUGGCCAAUUGGUCUUAUAGAUGUCUGCAAAUUCCUUUGCGAGUUCCUUUUUGUUUACCUCUCCAGAUUCUACAAGCACUAUCCCAACAUUUUUCAAGCUACCAAGAUGCUGAUCAUUGACAUCAGGGACAUCAACAUGGUAGAAUCCUAGCCCCUGCGCUGCACUCCCCACAUACCUAGCUGCGAGGUGGGCUUUCUUCCUGACAGGGCAGUCAUCCACUACAUGGGUCACCAUCUUGCAAAUGAAGCAAUUCUUGGGUCUCUCACACUUAUCCUUAUGGUGCCCUGGUUCGCCACAGUUGUAGUUGUAGCAGGUCACCAAGGCAUAAGACAUCAGGCCAGCAGAGGUAGUUGGGACAGUUUUCUGAAUCUGAUCCUGCUUCCUGCGCUGAGAAUUCUUACUUUGAUUUUUGCUUGAGCCUUGUUGAUUCCCUGAGUUGCUUCGCUCUUGUGGCGGGUCCACACCCCCUCCCGAACCCUGAGGAGGAGCGCCCUGAGCCGGCGGGCCGAACCACGGCUGCGGCGGCCCUCCCCCCCACGCUUAACAAGUUUGCAAAUCCAUCUGCUGAUGAGGUAUUAUGCGUCUGCUCAAAGUAAAAAUCAAUGAGUAUCACACCAAUGCUAUAGCUGAUGUAAAAAAUGUCGAACUUUAUACGUUCUGUACAAGUCCUCUCUUAUGUUUAUUGCAACGGUUGUGCUAUUAUGAGUUGCCUGGUAUUUCGCUAAGACCCUAGUUACCUUGCCAUUCCAUGUGCCAAGUGAUACAUUUAGUUAAUCCAACGAAAAUAAAAAAAGAUGAUCGGGGAAUACUUAAUUUGUGUGCUCCAUAAACAAGAUAAUAUACUUGAUUACUAACAAAGUUGACCCCAGAUAUGUAUAGCUGUUUGACAACCCGUAAACCUGGCAGGUGGAGCGAUCAAUCAUGCAAUACAAGCCAGCAACUACAUGUGAUGAUGCGACCGGCGUGUCCACUUAAGUAUUGAUCGCGAAAAGAAUACUUGACUAAUUAACUGGCCAAAUCAUCCAACUGAUUCCUCUGUAUUAUCAGGGUGAUUUUUAACAUACAUACAUGUGGUCAUGUGGUAGAAUACAUAUAUUUGGAUUAGCUAGCAGUAGCAGGUCAUGCCAUGUGACGGAGACUAGCUAGAAAAGAGAGCCGGAUUCUUCGGGAAUUUCGUGUGAAUGAUGCGGCAACUGGCAGGCGCUCAUUCAAGCUGUUCACAACUUGACAGGGCGACCCUCGCCAAAAAUUAAUAAAUACUUCACAAGGCGGCACCAAUCUAUUCAGACAAGGGGCUCCUCUUUGUUGGAUAUAUGCACUGUCAGCUAAUUAUGCUUGGUCCGAAAUAUCUCUCUUUCUGAUUCUGUUGUUGCGCUGGUCUAGGUCUAUCAUGUACGCUCGCGAGAAAAAUAUUUCUAACGGAUACAUGCAUGCAUGCAUGCAUGUGGGUUUCAAGGGGUGACGAGGAUUCCUAUCCUUGGUGCAAGUACAUACUAUCUGAAAGACUUGGCGUGUGAAUAUCCAUCCACACCCACCCCGCUCCAAAAACACAAGAGAACAAGCGCAUGGAACAAUAUAUACGACGGUUGCUAGCAAACAGGGAGGGCGCCAAGAGUCAAGCAAAUGAUGGUAAAAGAAUGAGUUGUCCGCGGUAGCAUCCGUACGCGAUCGCUACGGCAACAAAGAUCACCACCCGGAGGAGUUUGAAUUUUGCUUCGGACCUACGCAGUUUUGUAGAGUAGCAUUCAUAGAUUUAUCUGCAGUUCUUCGUCAUCAAGCAGUGAUGGAGGCGCGCAGGCACAGCCCCAGAAGAAGAAGUUGUUUCUGCUGACAGCGAGCAGAGACAGAGAGAGGGGGUUUACUUGACUUUGAAUAUUAUAAACCCGUAAAGGCGCGUGGCACACAUUUGCUGACUCCAUCCUUGAGCUCUGACCAAAUCAGCACGCGGAUCCCUACUCGUGCGUGCACCUCACUGUCAAAUCCCCUGCUUCUGGUUCAGAAUUGAGUUCCUCGUCGCACGGACUGAAAUAAAACUCAGAUGGCCCCAUCCACAUGCCCAUGACUAUACGCAGGUAUGCUGCAUCACUUGUUACCGAGUGCUUCUUUCCCACAGGAAAAGUAAUACCGCAAUACUACUUCUUCUUGCAAGGAUCAAGUAGUCAAUAAAGCUUCAUUUUUGUUGGGCAUCCUUCUCAUCCUUUCCUCUCCCAUUUUGUCGCAUGCAUGGGAGCCGUAAGCAUAACGUGGUGUAUACAUAAUCCAUUGUGUAUUCAGUUAAUUAACCAAACGGCAACAUGGUCAACUUGUCAUGUGUCCAUACGCCGUUGGCGUAAUGCGGGAGCAAUGCAGAGCCCGCAAGCCAUCCAUCAGCUUGAUGAUAGCUACUACUACGCUCGAGUUGACGAUUUGACCCAAUUACGUGCGUCCAAGGAAGGCGCCGCGGGUCCCACUCAUGCAUACGCGUUUCCUGUUGACUUGUCAGAAAAGAGAAUCAAGUGACGUGGCGCUGCCGCCCUUCUUGUGCAGGAAAAACGGGAGCAUGUGACGCCGCGUAGACCUUGAGCUCAAAAAAGAUCACGUUAUCCAGUCGAACGUGGGCACUCUGCAGCUCGAGAAAAUCGGCAGACAUUGCAGAAACUAAUUACCAAUUGAGUAUUGCUGGUAGUGUAUUAUUCCUUCUCUGGAUCAAGCAUGCGAAGUUUCAGGCAAGUUGCGGAUGAAAGCGACGGUCUCUGGCCGGGAAUUUCCUCUGUAACCAUCAGCCUGUACCGUCGUCUGGUCAACCCUCCGGUGUGUUAGUAUGAACACAGGACAAUAGCUGCACAGCACACAUAGUUAACAGGACGGAAUGCAAGGUAUCAGUUGUCCUCUGCACCUUCGAAUCUCAGAGGUUUGAUACAUGUCGCUAUGCCCUAGCCCUACCUAUGCGUUGAAGAUUUGACCCGAUUAGUGUGUAUUUUGCGUGGAGACUUCGUUAACCUGACAAGCCACUAUUUCGUUGAUAUGUGCUAUCAGUACAAAUCAUGGCGCAUGGAGUCGCCAAGUGUUGCACUUCACACUGGCCGCAACCGUCCUGGUCAAUUUCUAGGGAACCACUCGAGAUUCCGGCCCUCGGUUUGGAUGUUUGGCAAGUUUUGGCAUGUCCGUUGGCUCUCUUUGGCCAUCUGUCAGACAUCCAAAGAAAGAGCCAAGACAGUAGCUAGCUGAUGAAUUUUGGGCUUGGCUUAGGGAAUAAACCAUCAAUUAUUUAUUUAUUUAUUGAAAAACGUGCUCUGUUGAUUUGCCAAACGAAAGGCUCAAAAUCGAACUGAAACUGAAUGACUCUGCGAUCAGGCAAUGCAGUGGUAAAAAAGAAGAAGCAGGUCAUGUCGUCGGCGUAGACUUUGAAAAAUGCUACGUUAUCCGAUCGAAACACGGACGCCGGGCAGGUCAGGAUAUCGGCGGAGAUGAAUUUAUUUAUAUAAAUUGAUUCUAUUGCUUUCCGGCCGUGGCCUUGUGCCGCUUUGGCCGACUUUUCUCGCUCAUAUCAUGCCGCAGGGAGAAUCAAAAAUUUCUCGUGUAAAACCAUGCGUACUACUUACUUAUUCGAGCUUUGCUUUCGCACUGAAGAAUCGAUAAUCACAUGAGUUUAUGUCCAUGCUCGGGGUAUGAUUUAUAAGCAUGAGCAGCGUGAUCGUCAUCAGGACUUGAGGACAUGAUCGUGUAAGAUUGACCGAGUUAUGUACGUACGGAGAUACUUAUUUCAGGCCCAAUUUUGCAGCUAUCAAACACGCACAAAACAACAACACUUUGAUACGAAGUGAUGGAAGCCUGUGUGGUCGCGAGCGGUCACAACUCACAGGUCGCAUGCAGGAGUUGCCGUGGGUCAUAUGGAUGGAUGGAUGAUGGCCCCGUUGAGGUACAGAGUGAAGUACAGCAGGCGUGAAGGGAACGAGUCGUCGUUGACUUGGACGGUUCGCGCCAAGGAACAGCGACAUUGACGUCCAUCCACGGGCCGCGGCUGCUUCUUGGAAACUUCGGCUCAUUUUCCUACUUAGCGGCGCGUGCGAGCGCAAAACAUAAUCUCUCUCUCUCUCUCUCUUUUCUUUUUCUUUUUUUUAGAAGAAGAGCGCAAAACAUAAUCAGAGAUGGAAGAAGCCAGGAAAGGAACCAUGGGCCACCGUGAUCACAAGUGUGCAGCUGACAACCACACACAGAAUCACCGGUGAGCAGGCCGCCUCAAGGCCCACAAGAGUGUAGCGACAUACCCCUUCGUCGUCACUGAACCAACCUUUUCUCAACAACUAGGGUUCACACCAAAAAUCCCAUCUUGCUUGCUCAGCUUAGGGCACCUGAUGGAGAAGGAUAUGUCGUCGGGAUCGGCAUCGGGCUCCAUGUCGAGAUCAGCGGCGAUCUGUGAGGUGGAGUUGACGAUGAAGGAACUUGGGCUUCGUGAGGAAGACCUAGGUGAUACUCCCUUCAUUUCACAAUGUAGUGCACCCGCGCUUUUCGAGAUUCAAGUUUGACCGUAAAUUUAAUCAACGAGACCGACUGCGGCGAAAGCAAAAAUUAUAUCAGUGAAUUCGUAUUUUCGAUAAUUCAGUGAUAGAAUUUUUGCUCCCGCCGCAAUCGGUCUCAUUGGUUAAUUUACGGUCAAACUUGGAUCUCGAGAAGCGCGGGCGCACUACAUUGUGGAAUGGAGGAAGUAUGUUUUUUAUGAGGAAGCGUUGCCGGAAGCCACCAGAUCGAUGGCGAUCGCAAAAGUUCACAUAGAUAAACCAUACAAUCAAUUCUGGUUCUUCAAGAACAUGCGUCAGGGUGGGAUCUAUCUCAACACGUAAAGUUUAGGCCAAGAAAGAUAAUUUGUAUACUCUAUUUAUAUUGUAAAUGAGCUCCCACGCUCCAGCGACGCGCUACUCCGGUGCCCGUCGCCACCUCGCCGCUGCCACCACAGGUUCUAUCGCCCCUGCUUCCCCGCCGAACGCCCCCUUGACCUGGCUCUCCUCUGGGGUUCCCGUCCCCGCGGUUCCGGUGCCCGGAUCUGGUCGCAUCCAGUUUUCCACAGUUCGCCGAUGUGAGCCCAGAUCUGCGGUCCCUGGCCGCCCUGCAAUCCCAGCGGUCACUGGGGGCACAUCCGAGGUUGCAAAGCUGCCCCGCAGAGUAAGCUUCGCUAUUAAUGCAGAUCUCCUGGAACACACACCGGCUCCCCCAAUUCAUGGCCGAAGGAUUUCGUCAAGCUCCAGGACCGUGAGUCCCAUCGAUGCCUCCUCAAAGGCCACUGCAAAGUGGACUGCCGUAACCCACUCACCUGCCGUCGUUGUAGAUGAAGGAAAUAUGCCCUAGAGAUAAUAAUAAAGUUGUUAUUUAUAUUUCCUUAUAUCAUGAUAAAUGUUUAUUAUUCAUGCUGGAAUUGUAUUAACCGGAAACUUGAUACAUGUGUGAAUAAAUAGACAAAACAAAGUGUCCCUAGUAUGCCUCUACUUGACUAGCUCGUUAAUCAAAGAUGGUUAAGUUUCCUGACCAUAGACAUGUGUUGUCAUUUGAUGAACGGGAUCACAUCAUUAGAGAAUGAUGUGAUGGUUAAGACCCAUCCGUUAGCUUAGCAUUAUGAUCAUUGAGUUUUAUAGCUAUUGCUUUCUUCAUGACUUAUACAUGUUCCUCUGACUAUGAGAUUAUGCAACUCCCGAAUACCGGAGGAACACCUUGUGUGCUAUCAAACGUCACAACCUAACUGGGUGAUUAUAAAGAUGCUCUGCAGGUGUCUCCGAAGGUGUUUGUUGGGUUGGCAUAGAUCGAGAUUAGGAUUUGUCACUCCGUGUAUCGGAGAGGUAUCUCUGGGCCCUCUCGGUAAUGCACAUCACUAUAAGCCUUGCAAGCAAUGUGACUAAUGAGUUAGUUGCGGGAUGAUGCAUUACAGAACGAGUAAAGAGACUUGCCGGUAACGAGAUUGAACUAGGUAUGGUGAUACCGACGAUCGAAUCUCGGGCAAGUAACAUACCGAUGACAAAGGGAACAACGUAUGUUGUUAUGCGGUUUGACCGACAAAGAUCUUCGUAGACUAUGUAGGAACCAAUAUGAGCAUCCAGGUUCCGCUAUUGGUUAUUGACUGGAGAUGUGUCUCGGUCAUGUCUACAUAGUUCUCGAACCCGUAGGGUCCGCACGCUUAAAGUUCGAGGACGAUUUGUAUUAUGAGUUAUGUGAUUUGAUGUACCGAAGGUUUUUCGGAGUCCCGGGUGAGAUCACGAACAUGAUGAGGAGUCUCGAAAUGGUUGAGACGUAAAGAUCGAUAUAUUGGAAGGCUAUAUUUGGACAUCGAAAAGGUUCCGAGUGAUUCGGGUAUUUUUCGGAGUACCGGAGAGUUACGGGAAUUCGCCGAGAGAAGUAUUGGGCCUUAAUGGGCUUGAGUGGAAAGGAGAGAAGGCCCAAAAGGGGAGGCAGCGCGCCCACCCAUGGGCUUGUCCGAAUUGGACUAGGAGGGGGCGGCACCCCCCUCUUUCCUUCUCCCCUCUUCCUCCUUCCCUCCUUCUCCUACUAGGAAUAGGAAAGAGGAGGGGAAUCCUACUUGGACUGGGGAGUCCUAGUAGGAUUCCCCACACCUGGUGCGCCCCCCUUGGGCCGACCACCUCUUCUAUCCCCUCCUUUAUAUACGUGCCAGGGGCACCCCAAAGACACACAAGUUGAUUGUUUCCAGCCGUGUGCGGUGCCCCCUCCACCAUAAUCCACCUCGGUCAUAUCGUCGUAGUGCUUAGGCGAAGCCCUGCGCUGGUAGCUUCAUCAUCACCGUUAUCACGCUGUCGUGCUGACAAAGCUCUCCCUCGACACUCUGCUGGAUCGUGAGUUCGUGGGACGUCACCGAGCUGAACGUGUGCAGAUCACGGAGGUGCCGUACUUUCGGUACUAGGAUCGGUCGAUCGUGAAGACAUACGACUACAUCAACCGCGUUGUCAUAACGCUUCCGCUUACGGUCUACGAGGGUACGUAGACAACACUCUCCCCUCUCGUUGCUAUGCAUCACCAUGUUCUUGCGUGUGCGUAGGAAAAUUUUGAAAUUACUACGUUCCCAACAGUGGCAUCCGAGCCAGGUUUAUGCGUAGAUGUUAUAUGCAUGAGUAGAACACAAGUGAGUUGUGCGGGAUAAUAGUCAUACUGCUUACCAGCAUGUCAUACUUUGAUUCGGCGGUAUUGUUGGAUAAAGCGGCCCGGACCGACAUUACGCGUACGCUUUCGUGAGACUAGUUCUACCGACGUGCUUCGCACACAGGUGGCUGGCGGGUGUCAGUUUGUCCAACUUUAGUUGAAUCGAGUGUGACUACGCCCAGUCCUUGUUGAAGGUUAAAACAACACAUACUUAAAUGAAAAAUCAUUGUAGUUUUGAUGCGUAGGUAAGAACGGUUCUUGCUCAGUCCGUAGCAGCCACGUAAAACUUGCAACAACAAAGUAGGGGACGUCGAACUUGUUUUUGCAGGGCAUGUUGUGAUGUGAUAUGGUCAAGACAUGAUGCUAAAUUUUAUUGUAUGAGAUGAUCAUGUUUUGUAACAGAGUUAUCGGCAACUGGCAGGAGCCAUAUGGUUAUCGCUUUAUUGUAUGAAAUGCAAUCGCCAUGUAAUUGCUUUACUUUAUCAUUAAGCGGUAGCGAUAGUCGUAGAAGCAAUAGUUGGCGAGACUACAACGAUGCUACGAUGGAGAUCAAGGUGUCGCGCCGGUGACGAUGGUGAUCAUGACUGUGCUUUGGAGAUGAAGAUCAAAGGCACAAGAUGAUGAUGGCCAUAUCAUGUCACUUAUAUUGAUUGCGUGUGAUGUUUAUCCUUUAUGCAUCUUAUUUUUCUUAGUUCGGAGUAGCAUUAUAAGAUGAUCUCUUACUAAAUUUCAAGGUACAAGUGUUCUCCCUGAGUAUGCACCAUUGCGAAAGUUUGUCGUGCUGAGACACCACGUAAUGAUCGGGUGUGAUAAGCUCUACGUUCACAUACAAUGGGUGCAAGCCAGUUUUGCACACGCAUAAUACUCGGGUUAAACUUGAUGAUCCUAGCAUAUGCAGAUAUGGCCUCGAAACACUAAGACCGAAAGGUCGAGCGUGAAUCAUAUAGUAGAUAUGAUCAACAUAGUGAUGUUCACCAUUGAAAACUACCCCAUCUCACGUGAUGAUUGGACAUGGUUUAGUUGAUUUGGAUCACGUGAUCACUUAGAUGAUUAGAGGGAUGUCUAUCUAAGUGGGAGUUCAUAAGUAAUUUGAUUAAUUGAACUUUAAUUUAUCAUGAACUUAGUCCUGAUAGUAUUUGCAUAACUAUGUUGUAGAUCAAUAGCUCGCGAUGUAGCUCCCCGUUUAUUUUUGAUAUGUUCCUAGAGAAAAACUAUGUUGAAAGAUGAUAGUAGCAAUGAUGCGGACUAGGUCCGUGAUCUAAGGAUUAUCCUCAUUUCUGCACAGAAGAAUUAUGUCCUUAAUGCAUCGCUAGAUGACGGACCUAUUGCAUGAGUAGAUACAGACGUUAUGAACGUUUGGCAAGCUCGGUAUGAUAACUACUUGAUAGUUUAGUGCACCAUGCUUUACGCCUUAGAACCGGGACUUCAAAAACUUAUUGAAUGCCACGGAGCAUAUAAUAUGUUCCAAGAGCUGAAAUUGGUAUUUCAGACUCAUGCCCGAGUCAAGAGGUAUGAUACCUCUGACAAGUACUUUGCCUACAAGAUGGAGGAGAAUAGCUCAACCAGUGAGCAUGUGCUUAGAUUGUCUGAGUACUACAAUCGCUUGAAUCAAGUGGGAGUUAAUCUUCCAGAUAAAAUAGUGAUUGACAGAGUUCUCUAGUCACUAUCACCAAGUUACGGGAACUUCGUGAUGAACUAUAAUAUGCAAGGGAUGACGAAAACGAUUCCCGAGCUCUUUGUGAUGCUGAAAUCAACGAAGGUAGAAAUCAAGAAAAGCAUCAAAAGUUGAUGGUUGGCAAGACUACUAGUUUCAAGUAAAAGGGCAAGGGAAAGAAAGGGAACUUCAAGAAGAAUGGCAAGCAAGUUGCCACUCCCAUGAAAAAGCCCAAAGCUAUACCCAAGCCUGAAACUGAGUGCUUCUACUGCAAAGGAAAUGGUCACUGGAGGCGGAACUGCCCCAAUACUUGGCGGAUAAGAAGGAUGGCAAAGUGAACAAAAGUAUAUAUGAUAUACAUGUUAUUGAGGUGUACUUUACUAGUGUUCAUAGUAGCCCUUGGGUAUUUGAUACUGGUUCAGUUGCUAUGAUUAGUAAACUCGAAACAGGAGUUACAAAAUGAACAAAGACUAGUUGAGGGCAAGGUUACGAUGUGUGUUGGAAGUGAUUCCAAGGUUGAUAAGAUCACCAUCGCACACUCCCUUUACCUACAGGAUUAGUGUUAAACCUAAAAUAAAUGUUAUUUGGUGUUUGCGUUUAGCAUAAUAUGAUUGGAUCAUGUUUAUUGCAAUACGGUUAUUCAUUUAAGUCAAAGAAUAAUUGUUAUUCUGUUUACAUGAAUAAAACCUUCUGUGGUCAUACACCCAAGGUGAAUGGUUUAUUGAAUCUCGAUCGUAGUGAUACACAUAUUCAUAAUAUUGAUGCCAAAAGAUGCAAAGUUGAUAAUGAUAGUGCAACAUAUUUAUGGCACUGCCAUUUAGGUCAUAUUGGUGUAAAGCGCAUGAAGAAACUCCAUGCUGAUGGGUGUUUGGAAUCACUUGAUGCUUGCGAACCAUGCCUCAUGGGCAAGAUGACUAAGACUCCGUUCUCCGGAACAAUGGAGCGAGCAACUGACUUAUUGGAAAUAAUACGUACUGAUGUAUGCGAUCUGACGAGUGUUGAGGCUCGCAGCAUGUAUCGUUAUUUUCCGACCUUCACAUAUGAUUUGAGCAGAUAUGGUUAUAUCUACUUGAUUAAACAUAAGUCUGGAACAUUUGAAAAGUUUAAAGAAUUUCAGAGUGAAGUGGAAAAUCAUCGUAACAAGAUAAUAAAGUUUCUACGAUCUGAUCGCGGGGACGAAUAUUUGAGUUACGUGUUUGGUCUUCAUUUGAAACAAUGUGGAAUAGUUUCGCAACUCACGCCACCUGGAACACCACAGCAUAAUGGUGCGUCCGAAUGUCAUAACCGUACAUUAUUAGAUAUGGUGCAAUCUAUGAUGUCUCUUACCGAUUAAGCACUAUCGUUUUGGGGUUAUGCAUUUGAGACAGCUGCAUUCACGUUAAAUAGGGCACCAUCUAAAUCUGUUGAGACGACACUGUGGUUUGGCAAGAAACCCAAGUUGUCGUUUCUUAAAAUUUGGGGCUGCAAUGCUUAUGUGAAAAAUCUUCAACCUGAUAAGCUCGAACCCAAAUCGAAGAAAUGUGUCUUCAUAGGAUACCCAAAGGAGACUGUUGGGUACACUUAUAUCACAGAUCCGAAGGCAAGAUAUUCGUUGCUAAAAUGGAUACUUUCUAGAGAAGGAGUUUCUCUCGAAAGAAGUGAGUGGGAGGAAAGUAGAACUUGAUGAGGUAAUUUUACCUGCUCCCUUAUUGGAAAGUAGUUCAUCACAGAAAUCAGCUCUAGUGAUUCCUACACCAAUUAGAGAGAAAGCUAAUGAUUAUAAUCAUGAAACUUUAGAUCAAGUUACUACAGAACCUCGUAGGUCAACCAGAGUAAGAUCCGCACCAGAGUGGUAUGGUAAUCCUGUUCUGGAAGUCAUGUUACUUGACCAUGACGAACCUACGAACUAUGAGGAAGUGAUGAUGAGCCCAGAUUCCGCGAAAUGGCUUGAGGCCAUGAAAUCUGAGAUAGGAUCCAUGUAUAAGUACAAAGUGUGGACUUUGGUGGACUUGCCCGAUGAUUGGCAAGCCAUUAAGAAUAAAUGAAUCUUCAAGAGGAAGACGGACGCUGAUAGUAGUGUUACUAUCUACAAAGCUCGAAUUGUCGCAAAAAGUUUUUGACAAGUGCAAGGUGUUGACUAUGAUGUGAUUUUCUCACUCGUAGCAAUGCUUAAAGUCUGUCCGAAUCAUGUUAGCAAUUGCCACAUUUUAUGAAAUCUGGCAAAUAGAUGUCAAAACUACAUUGCUUAAUAUAUUUCUUAAAGAAGAGUUGUAUAUGAUGCAACAAGAAGGUUUUGUCAAUCCUAAAGGUGCUAACAAAGUGUGCAAGCUCCAGCGAUCCAUCUAUGGACUGGUGCAAGCAUCUCGGAGUUGGAAUAUACACUUUGAUGAGUUGAUCAAAGCAUAUAGUUUUAUACAGACUUGCGGUGAAGCCUGUAUUUACAAGAAAGUGAGUGGGAGCACUACAGCCUUUCUGAUAAGUAUAUGUGAAUGACAUAUUGUUGAUCGGAAAUGAUGUAGAAUUUUUCUGGAAAGCAUAAAGGAGUUUUUCAAAGAAAGACCCCGGUAAAUUUGCUUACAUAUUGAGCAUCCAGAUCUAUAGAGAUAGAUCAAGACGCUUGAUAAGAUUUUUUCAAUGAGAACAUACCUUAACAAGAUUUUGAAGUAAGUUCAAAAUGGAACAGUCAAAGAAAGAAGUUCUUGCAUGUGUUGCAAGGUGUGAAGUUGAGUAAGACUCAAACCCCGACCACGACAGAAAAUAGAAAGAGAAUGAAAAUCAUUCCCUAUGCCUCAGUCAUAGGUUCUAUAAAAUAUGCUAUGCUGUGUAUCAGACCUAUUGUGUACCUCACCAUGAGUUUGGCAAGAGGGUACAAUAGUGAUCCAGGAAUGGAUCACUGGACAACGGUCAAAAUUAUCCUUAGUGGUAUAAGGAUAUGUUUCUUGGUUAUGGAGGUAACAAAGAGUUCGUCGUAAAUGGUUACGUCGAUGCAAGACACUGAUCCAGAUGACUCUGAGUCUCAAUCUGGAUACAUAUUGAAAGUGGGAGCGAUUAGCUAGAGUAGCUCCGUGCAGAGCAUUGUAGAUAUAGAAAAUUUGCAAAAUACAUACGGCUCUGUAUGUGGCAGACCCGUUGACUAAACUUCUCUCACAAGCAAAACAUGAUCACUCUUUGGGUGUUAAUCACAUAGCGACGUGAACUAGAUUAUUGACUCUAGUAGACCUUUUGGGUGUUAGUCACGUGGCGAUGUGAACUAAUCACAUAGUGAUGUGAGCUAUUGGUGUUAAAUCACAUGAUGAUGUGAACUAGAUUAUUGACUCUAGUGCAAGUGGGAGACUUGAGGAAAUAUGCCCUAGAGACAAUAAUAAAGUUGUUAUUUAUAUUUCCUUAUAUCAUGAUAAUGUUUAUUAUUCAUGCUAGAAUUGUAUUAACCGGAAACUUGAUACAUGUGUGAAUAAAUAGACAAAACAAAGUGUCCCUAGUAUGCCUCUACUAGACUAGCUCGUUAAUCAAAGAUGGUUAAGUUUCCUGACCAUAAACAUGUGUUGUCAUUUGAUGAACGGGAUCACAUCAUUAGAGAAUGAUGUGAUCGACAAGACCCAUCCGUUAGCUCAGCAUUAUGAUCAUUGAGUUUUAUUGCUAUUGCUUUCUUCAUGACUUAUACAUCUUCCUCUGACUAUGAGAUUAUGCAACUCCCGAAUACCGGAGGAAUACCUUGUGUGCUAUCAAAUGUCACAACGUAACUGGGUGAUUAUAAAGAUGCUCUGCAGGUGUCUCCGAAGGUGUUUGUUGGGUUGGCAUAGAUCGAGAUUAUGAUUUGUCACUCCGUGUAUCAGAGAGGUAUCUCUGGGCCCUCUCGGUAAUGCACAUCACUAUAAGCCUUGCAAGCAAUGUGACUAAUGAGUUAGUUGCAGGAUGAUGCAUUGCGGAACGAGUAAAGAGACUUGCCGGUAACGAGAUUGAACUAGGUAUGGUGAUACCGACGAUCGAAUCUCGGGCAAGUAGCAUACCAAUGACAAAGGGAACAAUGUAUGUUGUUAUGUGGUUUGACCGAUAAAAAUAUUCGUAGAAUAUGUAGGAGCCAAUAUGAGCAUCCAGGUUCCACUAUUGGUUAUUGACCAGAGAUGUGUCUCGGUCAUGUCUACAUAGUUCUCGAACCCGUAGGGUCCGCACCCUUAAAGUUCGAUGACGAUUUGUAUUAUGAGUUAUGUGAUUUGAUGUACUGAGGUUUUUCAGAGUCCCGGAUGAGAUCACGGACAUGACGAGGAGUCUCGAAAUGGUCGAGACGUAAACAUCGAUAUAUUGGAAGGCUAUAUUUGGACAUCGGAAAGGUUCCGAGUGAUUCGGGUAUUUUUCGGAGUACCGGAGAGUUACGGGAAUUCGCCGAGAGAAGUAUUGGGCCUUAAUGGGCUUGAGUGGAAAGAAGAGAAGGGCCAAAAGGGGAGGCAGCGCGCCCACCCAUGGGCUGGUCCGAAUUGGACUAGGAGGGGGCGGCGCCCCCCUCUUUCCUUCUCCCCUCUUCAUCCUUCCCUCCUUCUCCUACUAGGAAUAGGAAAGAGGAGGGGAAUCCUACUUGGACUGGGGAGUCCUAGUAGGAUUCCCCAGACCUGGCGCGCCCCCCUUGGGCCGGCCACCUCUUCCCUCCCCUCCUUUAUAUACGUGGCCAGGGGCACCCCAAAGACAAACAAGUUGAUUGUUUCCAGCCGUGUGCGGUGCCCCCCUCCACCAUAAUCCACCUCGAUCAUAUCGUCGUAGUGCUUAGGCGAAGCCUUGCGCUGGUAGCUUCAUCAUCACCGUCAUCAUGCUGUCGUGCUGACGAAGCUCUCCCUCGACACUCUGCUGGAUCAUGAGUUCGUGGGACGUCACCGAGCUGAACGUGUGCAGAUCGCGGAGGUGCCGUACUUUCGGUACUAGGAUCGGUCGAUCGUGAAGACGUAUGACCACAUCAACUGUGUUGUCAUAACGCUUCCGCUUACGGUCUACGAGGGUACAUGGACAACACUCUCCCAUCUCGUUGUUAUGCAUCACCAUGAUCUUGCGUGUGCGUAGGAAAAUUUUGAAAUUACUACGUUCCCCAACAGUAGAAGAUUUGGACAUAGGGAGAGGGGCUGCACCAAGGACCCGUUACCCUCCCCUCUGUCCCCUGCAUCGACACCUCGCUCUGCUUCGUCUUCGGCGGCUCCACCACGCCCUGCAUCGCCUCCUUCAAUGUUGUCACCACUACAAAAAAAAGACACAUCCGUGACAUCUUGGGCCGAACGAAAUUUUUUCCUGUCAUGCUUAUGACACUUCUAUGACGAUAAUUGUGACAAAACCCGGUAUCAUCAUAGAUGUGGUGGGCUCCUACUUCUGUGACAAAAAAUCAUGACAGAAAAUGGGCUUUUCGUCCUGGGCGGGCCGGAGACGCAGCUGCAUGACAUUCUUUGGGCCGUCGACGACAAAAAAACGUGGUAGAUGAAGGAAAUAUGCCCUAGAGGCAAUAAUAAAGUUAUUAUUUAUUUCCUUAUAUCAUGAUAAAUGUUUAUUAUUCAUGCUAGAAUUGUAUUAACCGGAAACAUAAUACUUGUGUGAAUACAUAGACAAACAGAGUGUCACUAGUAUGCCUCUACUUGACUAGCUCGUUGAUCAAAGAUGGUUAUGUUUCCUAGCCAUAGACAUGAGUUGUCAUUCGAUUAAUGGGAUCACAUCAUUAGGAGAAUGAUGUGAUUGACUUGACCCAUUCCGUUAGCUUAGCACUCGAUCGUUUAGUAUGUUGCUAUUGCUUUCUUCAUGACUUAUACAUGUUCCUAUGACUAUGAGAUUAUGCAACUCCCAUUUACCGGAGGAACACUUUGUGUGCUACUAAACGUCACAACGUAACUGGGUGAUUAUAAAGGUGCUCUACAGGUGUCUCCGAAGGUACUUGUUGGGUUGGCGUAUUUCGAGAUUAGGAUUUGUCACUUCGAUUGUCGAAGAGGUAUCUCUGGGCCCUCUCGGUAAUGCACAUCACUUAAGCCUUGCAAGCAUUGCAACUAAUGAGUUAGUUGUGGGAUGAUGUAUUACGGAACGAGUAAAGAGACUUGCCGGUAACGAGAUUGAACUAGGUAUUGAGAUACCGACGAUCGAAUCUCGGGCAAGUAACAUACCGAUGACAAAGGGAACAACGUAUGUUAUUAUGCGGUCUGACCGAUAAAGAUCUUCGUAGAAUAUGUGGGAGCCAAUAUGAGCAUCCAGGUUCUGCUAUUGGUUAUUGACCGGAGACGUGUCUCGGUCAUGUGUACAUAGUUCUCGAACCCGUAGGGUCUGCACGCUUAACGUUUCGAUGACAGUUAUAUUAUGAGUUUAUAUGUUUUGAUGUACCGAAGGUUGUUCGGAGUCCCGGAUGUGAUCACGGACAUGAUGAGGAGUCUCGAAAUGGUCGAGACAUGAAGAUUGAUAUAUUGGAAGCCUAUAUUUGGAUAUCGGAAGUGUUCCGGGUAAAAUCGGGAUUUUACCGGAGUACCGAGGGGUUACCGGAACCCCCCGGGGGCUUAAUGGGCCAUAGUAGGCCUUUGUGGAGAAGAGGAGAGGCGGCCAGGGCAGGGCCGCGCGCCCCUCCCCCUUAGUCCAAAUAGGAAAAGGAGAGGGGGGCGGCGCCCCCCCUUUCCUUCCUCUCUCCCUCCUCUUUCCCCCUCCACUCCUAAUCCAACUAGGAAAAGGGAGGGAGUCCUACUCCUGGUGCGAGUAGGACUCCACCCGGCGCGCCCCUCCUGGCCGGCCGCACCUCCCCCCUUGCUCCUUUAUAUACGGGGGCAAGGGGCACCCUAGAGACAGAACAAUUGAUCGUUUGAUCUUUUAGCCGUGUGCGGUGCCCCCCUCCACCAUAGUCCACCUCAAUAAUACUGUAGCGGUGCUUAGGCGAAGCCCUGCGUCGGUAGAACAUCAUCAUCGUCACCACGCCGUCGUGAUGACAAAACUCUCCCUCAACACUCGGCUGGAUCGGAGUUCGAGGGACGUCAUCGGGCUGAACGUGUGCUGAACUCGGAAGUGCCAUGCGUUCGGUACUUGAUCGGUCGGAUCGUGAAGACGUACGACUACAUCAACCGUGUUGUGCUAACGCUUCCGCUUUCGGUCUACGAGGGUACGUGGACAACACUCUCCCCUCUCGUUGCUAUGCAUCACCAUGAUCUUGCGUGUGCGUAGGAAUUUUUUUGAAAUUACUGCGUUCCCCAACAGUGGCAUCCGAGCCAGGUUUUAUGCGUAGAUGUUAUAUGCACGAGUAGAACACAAGUGAGUUGUGGGCAAUAUAAGUCAUACUGCUUACCAGCAUGUCAUACUUUGGUUCGGCGGUAUUGUUGGAUGAAGCGGCCCGGACCGACAUUACGCGUACGCUUACACGAGACUGGUUCUACCGACGUGCUUUGCACACAGGUGGCUGGCGGGUGUCAGUUUCUCCAACUUUAGUUGAACCGAGUGUGGCUACGCCCGGUCCUUGCGAAGGUGAAAACAGCACCAACUUGACAAACUAUCGUUGUGGUUUUGAUGUGUAGGUAAGAACGGUUCUUGCUAAGCCCGUAGCAGCCACGUAAAAUUUGCAACAACAAAGUAGAGGACGUCUAACUUGUUUUUGCAGGGCAUGUUGUGAUGUGAUAUGGUCAAGGCAUGAUGCUAUAUUUUAUAACCGAGUUAUCGGCAACUGGCAGGAGCCAUAUGGUUGUCGCUUUAUUGUAUGCAAUGCAAACGCCCUGUAAUGCUUUACUUUAUCACUAAGCGGUAGCGAUAGUCGUAGAAGCAUAAAUUGGCGAGACGACAACGAUGCUACGAUGGAGAUCAAGGUGUCGCACCGGUGACGAUGGUGAUCAUGACGAUGCUUCGGAGAUGGAGAUCACAAGCACAAGAUGAUGAUGGCCAUAUCAUAUCACUUAUAUUGAUUGCAUGUGAUGUUUAUCUUUUAUGCAUCUUAUCUUGCUUUGAUUGACGGUAGCAUUAUAAGAUGAUCCCUCACUAAAUUAUCAAAGUAUAAGUGUUCUCCCUGAGUAUGCACCGUUGCGAAAGUUCUUCGUGCUGAGACACCACGUGAUGAUCGGGUGUGAUAGGCUCUACGUUCAAAUACAACGGGUGCAAAACAGUUGCACACGCGGAAUACUCAGGUUAAGCUUGACGAGCCUAGCAUAUAACAGAUAUGGCCUCGGAACUAUUGGAAAUAUGCCCUAGAGGCAAUAAUAAAUGGUUAUUAUUAUAUUUCUUUGUUCAUGAUAAUUGUCUAUUGUUCAUGCUAUAAUUGUGUUAUCCGAAAAUCGUAAUACAUGUGUGAAUACAUAGACCACAACGUGUCCCUAGUAAGCCUCUAGUUGACUAGCUCGUUGAUCAACAGAUAGUCAUGGUUUCCUGACUAUGGACAUUGGAUGUCAUUGAUAACGGGAUCACAUCAUUAGGAGAAUGAUGUGAUGGACAAGACCCAAUCCUAAGCAUAGCACAAAAGAUCGUGUAGUUCGUUUGCAAGAGCUUUUCCAAUGUCAAGUAUCAUUUCCUUAGACCAUGAGAUCGUGCAACUCCUGGAUACCGUAGGAGUACUUUGGGUGUGCCAAACGUCACAACGUAACUGGGUGACUAUAAAGGUACACAACGGGUAUCUCCGAAAGUGUCUGUUGAGUUGGCACGGAUCGAGACUGGGAUUUGUCACUCCGUGUGACGGAGAGGUAUCUCUGAGCCCACUCGGUAAUGCAUCAUCAUAAUGAGCUCAAUGUGACUAAGGAGUUAGCCACGGGAUCAUGCAUUACGGUACGAGUAAAGUGACUUGCCGGUAACGAGAUUGAACAAGGCAUUGGGAUACCGACGAUUGAAUCUUGGGCAAGUAACGUACCGAUUGACAAAGGGAAUUAUAUACGGGAUUGAUUGAAUCCUCGACAUCAUGGUUCAUCCGAUGAGAUCAUCGUGGAACAUGUGGGAGCCAACAUGGGUAUCCAGAUCCCGCUGUUGGUUAUUGACCGGAGAGGCGUCUCGGUCAUGUCUGCAUGUCUCCCGAACCCGUAGGGUCUACACACUUAAGGUUCGGUGACGCUAGGGUUGUAGAGAUAUUAGUAUGCGGAAACCUGAAAGUUGUUCGGAGUCCCGGAUGAGAUCCCGGACGUCACGAGGAGUUCCGGAAUGGUCCGGAGGUGAAGAAUUAUAUAUAGGAAGUCCAGUUUCGGCCACCGGGAAGGUUUCGGGGGUUAUCGGUAUUGUACCGGGACAACCGGAAGGGUCCCGGGGGUCCACCGGGUGGGGCCACCUAUCCCGGAGGGCCCCAUGGGCUGAAGUGGGAAGGGAACCAGCCCUUAGUGGGCUGGGGCGCCCCCCCUUGGGCCUCCCCCUGCGCCUACGAUUGGAAACCCUAGGGGUGGGGGGCGCCCCACUUGGCUUGGGGGGGAAGCCAACCCCCCCUUCCCCCUUGGCCGCCGCCCCCCCUUGGAGAUCUGAUCUCCCAGGGCCGGCACCCCCCAGGGGUCCCUAUAUAUAGUGGGGGGAGGGAGGGCAGCAGCACCACAGCCCCUGGCGCCUCCCUCUCCCCCUGCAACACCUCUCCCUCUCGCAGAAGCUUGGCGAAGCCCUGCCGAGAUCCCCGCUACUUCCACCACCACGCCGUCGUGCUGCUGGAUCUCCAUCAACCUCUCCUUCCCCCUUGCUGGAUCAAGAAGGAGGAGACGUCGCUGCUUCGUACCUGUGUUGAACGCGGAGGUGCCGUACGUUCGGCACUCGGUCAUCGGUGAUUUGGAUCACGACGAGUACGACUCCAUCAACCCCGUUCAUAUGAACGCUUCCGCUCGCGAUCUACAAGUGUAUGUAGAUGCACUCCUUUCCCCUCGUUGCUAGUAUACUCCAUAGAUGGAUCUUGGUGAUGCGUAGGAAAUUUUAAAAUUCUGCUACGAUCCCCAACAGUGGCAUCAUGAGCCAGGCCUAUGCGUAGUUACUAUGCACGAGUAGAACACAAAGAAGUUGUGGGCGUAGAUGUUGCCAAUUCUUCUUGCCGCUACUAGUCUUAUCUUGUUUCGGCAGUAUUGUGGGAUGAAGCGGCCCGGACCGACCUUACACGUACGCUUACGUGAGACAGGUUCCACCGACUGACAUGCAUUAGUUGCAUAAGCUGGCUAGCGGGUGUCUGUCUCUCCCACUUUAGUCGGAACGGAUUCGAUGAAAAGGGUGCUUAUGAAGGGUAAAUAGAAAUUGGCAUAUCACGUUGUGGUUUUACGUAGGUAAGAAACGUUCUUGCUAGAAACCUAUACAAGCCACGUAAAACUUGCAACAACAAUUAGAGGACGUCUAACUUGUUUUUGCAGCAUGUGCCUUGUGAUGUGAUAUGGCCAGAAGAUGUGAUGCAUGAGAUUGAUCAUAUUCUUGUAAUAGGAAUCACGACUUGCAUGUCGAUGAGUAUGACAACCGGCAGGAGCCAUAGGAGUUGUCUUUACUUUUUGUAUGACCUGCGUGUCAUUGAAUAACGCCAUGUAAAUUACUUUACUUUGUUGCUAAACGCGUUAGCCAUAGAAGUAGAAGUAAUCGUUGGCGUGACAACUUCAUGAAGACACAAUGAUGGAGAUCAUGGUCUCAUGCCGGUGACGAAGAUGAUCAUGGUGCCCCGAAGAUGGAGAGGAGCAAAAUGAUAUUGGCCAUAUCAUGUCACUAUUUGAUUGCAUGUGAUGUUUAUCAUGUUUUGCAUCUUAUUAUCUUAGAACGACGGUAGUAAGUAAGAUGAUCCCUUAUAAUAAUUUCAAGAAAGUGUUCCCCCUAACUGUGCACCGUUGCGAAGGUUCGUUGUUUCGAAGCACCACGUGAUGAUCGGGUGUGAUAGAUUCUAACGUUCGCAUACAACGGGUGUUGACGAGCCUAGCAUGUACAGACAUGUCCUCGGAACACACGCAAUACACUUAGGUUGACUUGACGAGCCUAGCAUGUACAGACAUGGCCUCGGAACAUGGAGGACCGAAAGGUCGAGCAUGAGUCGUAUAGAAGAUACGAUCAACAUGGAGAUGUUCACCGAUCUUGACUAGUCCGUCUCACGUGAUGAUCGGAGACGGGCCUAGUUAACUCGGAUCAUGUUUCACUUAGAUGACUAGAGGGAUGUCUAUCUGAGUGGGAUUUCAUUGAAUAAUUUGAUUAUAUGAACUUAAUUAUCAUGAACUUAGUCUAAAAUCUUUACAAUAUGUCUUGUAGAUCAAAUGGCCCACGUUGUCCUCAACUUCAACGCGUUCCUAGAGAAAACCAAGCUGAAAGAUGAUGGCAGCAACUAUACGGACUGGGUCCGGAACCUGAGGAUCAUCCUCAUAGCUGCCAAGAAAGAUUAUGUCUUAGAAGCACCGCUAGGUGAAGCACCCAUCCCAGAGAACCAAGACGUUAUGAACGCUUGGCAAUCACGUGCUGAUGAUUACUCCCUCGUUCAGUGCGGCAUGCUUUACAGCUUAGAACCGGGGCUCCAAAAGUGUUUUGAGAAGCAUGGAGCAUAUGAGAUGUUCGAAGAGCUGAAAAUGGUUUUCCAAGCUCAUGCCCGGGUCGAGAGAUAUGAAGUGUCCGACAAGUUCUUCAGCUGUAAAAUGGAGGAAAAUAGUUCUGUUAGUGAGUACAUACUCAGAAUGUCUGGGUUACAUAACCGCUUGUCUCAGCUGGGAGUCAAUCUCCCGGAUGACGCGGUCAUUGACAGAAUCCUCCAGUCGCUUCCACCAAGCUACAAGAGCUUUGUGAUGAACUUCAAUAUGCAAGGGAUGGAAAAGACCAUUCCUGAGGUAUAUUCAAUGCUGAAAUCAGCGGAGGUGGAGAUCAGAAAGGAACAUCAAGUGUUGAUGGUGAAUAAAACCACUAAGUUCAAAAAAGGCAAGGGUAAGAAGAACUUCAAGAAGGACGGCAAGGGAGUUGCCGCACCCGGUAAGCCAGUUGCCGGGAAGAAGCCAAGGAAUGGACCCAAGCCUGAGACUGAGUGCUUUUAUUGCAAGGGAAGUGGUCACUGGAAGCGGAACUGCCCCAAAUACUUAGCGGACAAGAAGGCCGGCAACACCAAAGGUAUAUGUGAUAUAAAUGUAAUUGAUGUGUACCUUACCAGUACUCGUAGUAGCUCCUGGGUAUUUGAUACCGGUGCGGUUGCUCAUAUUUGUAACUCAAAACAGGAACUGCGGAAUAAGCGAAGACUGGCAAAGGACGAGGUGACGAUGCGCGUCGGGAAUGGUUCCAAGGUCGAUGUGAUCGCCGUCGGCACGCUACCUCUGCAUUUACCUACGGGAUUAGUUUUAAACCUCAAUAAUUGUUAUUUAGUGCCAGCUUUGAGCAUGAACAUUGUAUCUGGAUCUCGUUUAAUUCGAGAUGGCUACUCAUUUAAAUCCGAGAAUAAUGGUUGUUCUAUUUAUAUGAGAGAUAUGUUUUAUGGUCAUGCCCCGCUGGUUAAUGGUUUAUUCUUGAUGAAUCUCGAAUGUGAUGUUACACAUAUUCAUAGUGUGAAUACCAAAAGAUGUAAAGUUGAUAACGAUAGUCCCACAUACUUGUGGCACUGCCGCCUAGGUCACAUAUGUGUCAAGCGCAUGAAGAAGCUCCAUGCAGACGGACUUUUGGAGUCUCUUGAUUACGAAUCAUUUGACACGUGCGAACCAUGCCUCAUGGGUAAGAUGACCAAGACUCCGUUCUCCGAAACAAUGGAGCGAGCAACCAACUUAUUGGAAAUCAUACAUACCGAUGUGUGCGGUCCAAUGAGUGUUGAGGCUCGCGGAGGAUAUCAUUAUGUUCUCACUCUCACUGAUGACUUAAGUAGAUAUGGGUAUGUCUACCUAAUGAAACACAAGUCUGAAACCUUUGAAAAGUUCAAGGAAUUUCAGAGUGAGGUUGAGAAUCAACGUGACAGGAAAAUAAAAUUCUUACAAUCAGAUCGUGGUGGAGAAUAUUUAAGUCACGAAUUUGGUACACACUUAAGGAAAUGUGGAAUCGUUUCACAACUCACGCCGCCUGGAACACCUCAGCGAAAUGGUGUGUCCGAACGUCGUAAUCGCACUCUAUUGGAUAUGGAGCGAUCUAUUAUGUCUCUUACCGAUCUACCGCUCUCAUUUUGGGGCUAUGCUUUACAGACUGCCGCAUUCACUUUAAAUAGGGCUCCGUAGAAAUCCGUUGAGACGACACCGUAUGAAUUAUGGUUUGGGAAGAAACCUAAGCUGUCAUUUCUAAAAGUUUGGGGAUGCGAUGCUUAUGUCAAGAAAUUUCAACCUGAAAAGCUCGAACCCAAGUCGGAAAAAUGCGUCUUCAUAGGAUACCCUAAGGAAACUAUUGGGUAUACCUUCUACCUCAGAUCCGAAGGCAAGAUCUUUGUUGCAAAGAAUGGGUCCUUUCUGGAGAAAGAGUUUCUCUCGAAAGAAUUAAGUGGGAGGAAAGUGGAACUUGAUGAGGUGAUAGUCACCCCUUCCGAACCGGAAAGUAGCGCAGCGCGGGAAGAUGUUCCUGUGGUGCCUACACCGACUGGGGAGGAAGUUAAUGAUGAUGAUCAUGAAGCUUCGGAUCAAGUUACUGCUGUGUAGCGACCAGACCUCAAAUGGUCUGUGCUGCUGUGCACCAGUGUCAUCCCUGGAUCAGUAAUGCUGACACGCACAGUACAAAUGGAGGAUUUAUAACAGAGUAGCAAUCACACACUUAUUACAUCGAAUAUCUCCAAAGAGAAUAAGUAUGAUAAAUAUGGCUUAAGGCCAUCUAAAAACGAUAACAGUGGAAGACUUGGAAGAUAAGUGAGACCAUCAACUCCAACGGCAUCACUGAGUAUAAGACCACGACCUAAGGCACCUUACUCAUCGUCUGAAAAGUCUGCAACAUGAAACGUUGCAGCCCGAAAACGGGUCAGCACAUGGAAUAUGCUGGCAAAAUAACACAUAGAGAAUAAUGAACAUAAUAAUGCUAUACUACAUGCAUAUAUGGCUGGUGGAAAGCUCUAUGGUUACAGUUUUGCGAAAAGCCAAUUUUUCCCUACUGCAAAGGAAUAAAUUUUAUUUAACUAUCAUGGUGGUUGUUGAACAUUGAGAUGGUUGACAGCAUCUCAAUCCCAAUUAAAAGUCAUCAUUAACCCAACAAAAUUAAUUAAAAGUAACAUAGUGAUGAGAUUCACAUGAUAAUCCAGGUACUAGAUACUCAAGUUGUCCAUAACCGGGGACACGGCUAACCAUGAUUAGUUUGUACACUCUGCAGAGGUUUGUGCACUUUUCCCCACAAGACUCGAUCUCCUCCGUUGGAUUACUCGCACUACAUGGUGUUUGAGUAACGGAUGACCGAGACACAGUCUUUCAGAAGUGUUUGCACCUUACGUAUGGGUAUACAGUUACACCUACUUUCCCCUACAUCUGCUAGUCUACCACUGUAAGAGUUCACACAACUUAAUCAACUAUGCUAGAGCCCAUAAUAGCUUGCGGCUGCACACGGAAGUUUCUAGCAUGAAUAAUCUCAUGAUCCCUUUGAACCUGGGUGGCGGUCCAAAAGAAAAACAGGCAAUCCUGGAAUACCCAGGUACCUCAAUCCACCCAGAUGUGAGUUUUAGUUGCCACCUUAGGUAAACCAUUAAUUAACAAUCUCACAUAUGUCAUGGAAAUCUCUUAAACCCAAUCCACGUCUACGAGCAUAGCAUGGCAAAAUAAUAGCAACGUAGAAGUAACUCCCAAGGGUUUGAUAAAUAAAACAGGUAAUAGGUACUACCUCAUCUACUUCCCAAUACCCACAAUUUAAUUAGAUCCUAACCAUGCAAUGUUUGAGGAUUGAUCUAAUGCAAUAAAAACUGGGUAUGGAAAGGUAUGAUCAAAGUGUUACUUCCCUUGCUAAUGAUCCGCGAAACCUAGCGAUUCGAAGUAACAAGCGGCGCACUCCGGGUACUCUAUCGCAAACAAACAAGCAAACAAUAAGUACUCAUCUAAUGCACAGGUAAAACUCGAAUGAAAGAUCCAACCAGAAAGUUCAACUUAAGAACUCCGGUUUGCAAAAAGAAUCAACUCGAACGAAGCAACGAAAGUCAAACGGCGAAAGAAACAAGCUUCGUUUACUAAUCUGGAUCUAGGUCAAAUUUUACAGUAGCAAAAACUUGUUUGAGUAGGUUAAACGGAAAGAGAAUUUCGAGGCGAAACUCUAGGCGCUUGAAUCGCCUGAUUCCGAUAAACGAGCGAAAAGUUAAACGAAAACGAAGAUCCGAUCAGAAAUCGAGAUCUGAAAUAAUCGGGAAAAAUACGACGAAAAAGAAAAACUGACGAACGGUUAAAGAACGGACGUUCGUUAACAGAGAAAAUCCGACGAACACGUUCGUUAAAACGAACGGGCCGGUGAACGUUCACUAAAUAAUAAAACCGAAGAAAAAAUAAACCGAUCUAGGGUUUUUUUUAAAAACGAACGGUUUUUUUUUCUUCAGAAAACCGGCAAACGGCAUCGGAUCGAUACCUCGUCGGGACGGGGUUCCGGCGGGGUCGGCGGGGUCCGGCGAGGGGGCGGCGAGGGUGGCGGGGUGCGGCGGGCUUGGGGCGGCGAGGGGCGGGNNNNNNNNNNNNNNNNNNNNNNNNNNNNNNNNNNNNNNNNNNNNNNNNNNNNNNNNNNNNNNNNNNNNNNNNNNNNNNNNNNNNNNNNNNNNNNNNNNNNNNNNNNNNNNNNNNNNNNNNNNNNNNNNNNNNNNNNNNNNNNNNNNNNNNNNNNNNNNNNNNNNNNNNNNNNNNNNNNNNNNNNNNNNNNNNNNNNNNNNNNNNNNNNNNNNNNNNNNNNNNNNNNNNNNNNNNNNNNNNNNNNNNNNNNNNNNNNNNNNNNNNNNNNNNNNNNNNNNNNNNNNNNNNNNNNNNNNNNNNNNNNNNNNNNNNNNNNNNNNNNNNNNNNNNNNNNNNNNNNNNNNNNNNNNNNNNNNNNNNNNNNNNNNNNNNNNNNNNNNNNNNNNNNNNNNNNNNNNNNNNNNNNNNNNNNNNNNNNNNNNNNNNNNNNNNNNNNNNNNNNNNNNNNNNNNNNNNNNNNNNNNNNNNNNNNNNNNNNNNNNNNNNNNNNNNNNNNNNNNNNNNNNNNNNNNNNNNNNNNNNNNNNNNNNNNNNNNNNNNNNNNNNNNNNNNNNNNNNNNNNNNNNNNNNNNNNNNNNNNNNNNNNNNNNNNNNNNNNNNNNNNNNNNNNNNNNNNNNNNNNNCACGGCGGCGGCGGGCGGCGUACGCGCGGAGGAGACGGCGGGAUGGGCCGGCCGCUCGGCUGGGCCUCGGCCCGGUCGGGCGCGGCGCUUUUUUUUUAAACAUUCCGCCGACAACAAAUCACAGAAAAAUAAAUAAAAAUCCAAAAAAUAUAAAACAAAUUUUCCCCGUCUAGUUAAAAUAAUUAGAACAGGGUGAACAUUUUUUUGACACAAAAUGCAGUUUUGAAAACGUGCAAAUUUUUUUAAUGCAAUUAAAAUUGCAAAUAAAAUCCGGAUAAAAUCCAAUAUAUGAUUUUAAUAUUUUUCCUCCAAUAUUUCAAUUGUUUUGGAGAAGUCAUAUUUUCUCCUCUCAUUUAUUUUUAACUGAAAUAUUUUUCCGGAGAGAAAAUAAUUAAAACCAAAAUCCUCGUUUUAUUAUUUGAUAAAAUCAAAUAUGAAAAAUCGAGAAAAUCCCCAACUCUCUCCGAGGGUCCUUGAGUUUCUUAGGAUUUAUCGAGGAUUUGUCAAAAUGCAAUAAAAUAUGCUAUGCAAUGAAUGUUCUAUGUAUAACAUUCCAAAUUGAAAAUUUGGGAUGUUACAAACCUACCCCCCUUAAGAUGAAUCUCGCCCUCGAGAUUCGGGUUGGCUAGAAAACAGGUGGGAGUGGUCCUUCCGUAGAUCUUCCUCUCGCUCCCAGGUGGCUUCAUCUUCCGUGUGGUGACUCCACUGGACUUUGCAAAACUUGAUAACCUUACUGCGGGUGACUCGGGUGGCAUACUCAAGAAUCUUAACUGGUUUCUCCUCAUAGGUCAAAUCACUUUCCAGCUGAAUCGCUUCCAGUGGCACUGUAUCUCUCAGUGGUAUCUCAGCCAUCUCUGCGUGGCACUUCUUCAACUGGGAAACGUGAAAUACAUCAUGAACUCCUGACAAUCCUUCGGGUAAUUCCAGCUUGUAGGCAACUUCUCCCAUACGUUCCAAAACUCUGUAUGGUCCGAUAAAACGGGGCGCUAGCUUUCCCUUAACUCCAAAGCGCUUCACUCCUCGAAGUGGUGAUACUCGAAGAUACACUCGGUCUCCGGAUUCAUGAACUGUCUCCUUUCGUUUAGAAUCAGCAUAACUCUUCUGCCUGGACUGGGCUACCUUGAGCCUAUCGCGAAUCAGCCUCACUUUCUGUUCAGACUCCUUAAUCAAAUAUGGUCCAAACAACUGACGGUCUCCAACCUCGUCCCAUAACAACGGUGUUCUACACCUUCUUCCGUACAAAGCUUCGUAAGGGGCCAUCUUCAAACUGGUUUGAUAACUGUUGUUGUAGGAAAACUCCGCAUAUGGCAUAUUGUCGUCCCAACUAGAUCCAUAAUCUAGUGCACAAGCUCUCAACAUGUCCUCCAAAAUCUGAUUGACUCUCUCGGUCUGUCCAUCUGUCUGUGGGUGAAAAGCUGUACUAAAUUCUAGCCUGGUUCCCAAUGUUUCAUGUAACUGCUUCCAAAACUUCGAGGUAAACUGGGUUCCUCUGUCUGAUACAAUGGUCCUCGGAACUCCAUGCAAACAUACGAUCCUGGUCAUGUAUAUCUUUGCCAACUUAGCACUGGUGUAAGUGGUCUUUACUGGAAUGAAAUGAGCCACUUUCGUCAAACGGUCGACUACAACCCAUAUUGAGUCAUAGCCUGAACGAGUCCUUGGCAAUCCGGUGAUAAAAUCCAUGCCUAUUUUAUCCCACUUCCAUUCGGGUAUUGGCAAUGGUUGUAGCAAUCCUGCUGGCUUCUGAUGCUCUGCCUUCACUCUCUGACAUACAUCACAAACUGCUACAUACUCCGCAAUAUCCUUCUUCAUUCCGGUCCACCAGAAAGUAUUUUUCAGAUCCAAAUACAUCUUGGUAUUUCCUGGGUGAAUCGAGUACGGUGAAUCAUGGGCUUCUUACAAAAUCAACUUCCUGAUCUCCGGAUCAUUGGGCACAUAAACGCGGUCUUCAAACCAUAAGGUAUCGUGCUCAUCCUCACGAAAUCCCUUGGCUUUUCCUUUGCUCAUCUUCUCCUUUAUCUCGUCAAUCUCCUUGUCUGUCUUCUGAGCUUCUCUGAUCCUUUCCAUCAAGGUAGACUGAAUCUCCAGUGUUGCUAAAUAGCCUCUUGGGACUAUCUCCAAACAUAGCUCGCGAAGGUCCUCGGCUAACUCCUGAGGUAACUCUCCUGUCAUGAGGGUGUUGACAUGACUCUUGCGGCUCAACGCGUCUGCUACUACGUUAGCCUUUCCUGGUGAUAAUGCAAUCUCAUAUCAUAGUCCUUAAUAAGCUCCAACCAUCUCCUCUGUCUGAGAUUUAACUCCUUCUGCGUGAAAAUAUACUUCAAACUCUUGUGAUCUGUGUACACCUCACAAUGGUUUCCGAUGAGAAAAUGUCUCCAUGUCUUCAACGCAUGCACCACGACUGCUAACUCCAAAUCAUGCGUAGCAUAAUUCUUCUCAUGGGGUUUAAGUUGUCGUGAAGCAUAUGACACAACUCUUCCUUCCUGCAUAAGCACUGCUCCAAGUCCUCGACGAGAAGCGUCGCAAUAAACUUCAUAAUCCUUGCGUUGAUCUGGCAGAAUCAACACUGGUGAUGUAACCAAUCGUUUCUUCAAUUCUUGGAAACUAGCUUCACAAUCCUCAGUCCAAUUGAAUUUGGUGUCCUUCUUCAAUAGCUCAGUCAUGGGCUUAGCAAUCUUCGAGAAAUUCUCAAUGAACCUCCGGUAGUAUCCUGCAAGUCCAAGAAAACUCCGGAUCUCUCCAACUGACGUGGGUGAUUCCCAACUUGUUACUGUGUCAACUUUGGCAGGGUCUACUGCUACUCCUUCUCCAGAAAUAACAUGUCCGAGGAAUCCAACUUCCUUCAGCCAAAAUUCACAUUUGCUGAACUUGGCAUAUAACUGAUGUUCUCUGAGCUUCUCAAGUACCAAUCGCAAAUGCUCCUCAUGCUCUUCCUCAUUCUUGGAAAAGACUAAAAUAUCGUCAAUGAACACCACGACAAACUUGUCCAAAAACUCCAUAAACACUUUGUUCAUCAGGUUCAUGAAAUAGGCAGGUGCGUUAGUCAGACCAAAUGACAUAACGGUAUACUCAUACAGCCCAUAUCUGGUGGUAAAAGCCGUCUUAGGUAUAUCCUGCUCUCGAAUCUUUAACUGAUGGUAUCCUGAUCGUAGAUCGAUCUUGGAAAAUACUUUAGCUCCUUGUAAGCGGUCAAACAAAUCAUUGAUCAUCGGCAGUGGGUACUUGUUUUUGAUGGUCACUUCAUUCAAUCCACGAUAAUCGACAACCAUCCUCAACGAUCCAUCUUUCUUCUCCACUAGAAGUACUGGUGAUCCCCAAGGUGACGAACUUGGGCGAAUAUAGCCUUUAUCCAGUAACUCCUUGAUCUGCUUCUUAAUUUCCUCCAAAUCUUUUGCGGGCAUCCUGUACGGUCUCUUAGAUAUUGGCCCUGUGCCUGGCAAAAGUUCAAUCAGAAACUCAAUGUCUCUAUCCGGUGGCAUGCCUGGCAACUCUUCUGGAAAUACAUCCGGAUAAUCCUUCACCACUGGUACUUCCUCCUGUACAACUCCUGAUAAGGAAUUCACUUGAGUCCUCUUUGGCACAUGCCCUGAUACAUACUUAAUCCUUCUUCCUUCUGGGGUGGUAAGCAAAAUCGACUUGCUGGCACAAUUGAUGUUCCCUUCAUACUUCGAUAGCCAAUCCAUUCCCAAAAUCACAUCCAAACCUUGCGACUCCAAAAUUAUUAGGUCUGAGGGGAAAACAUGUCUACCAAUGGCCAAUGGCAUCUGAAAACAUUCUUGGCUUGCCAUAUACUCUGCUCCUGGCGAGGUUACUAACAUAGGUGUUCUGAGAACUUUGGUGGGCAACUUAAACUUAUCCACAAAUCCCCUUGAUAUGUAUGAAUGCGAUGCACCAGUAUCGAAAAGAACGAUUGCAGUAAAUGACUUAACCAAAAACUUACCUGUUACUGCAUCAGGCUGUGCUUCAACCUCCUCCACGCUCACGUGGUUCACAUGUCCUUUGUUGAACGGGUUCGGCUUCUUCCCAGAGCUUCCAUUGCCAUUUCCAUUCUGGGCUUCAGGAUAUUCAUUGGCAUAAUGUCCAGUCUUCUGGCACUUAAAGCAAGUGACUUGGCUCAGAUCCCUCUUGGCUGGGGUAGAUGGGUUGGUGCGGUUCUGUCCGUUGCUUCCUCCAUUCCCAUUACCAUUCUUGGAGCCAUUAUGGUUGUGCGAACUACCUCCUCCAUGGGUAUGCUGAAACUGUCCUCCCGGUUUCGGGGCAAAUCGUGGUUUCUGUUGAGCUCCAGAAUUAUACUUCCCUUGUCCAUACUUCCUCUUACGGUUUUCAAUCUGCUGCUGCUUUCCUUCAAUCAUGAGUGCUCUAUCUACCAACUCCUGGUAGUUGUUGAAGGUUGCUACCAUCAACUGCAUACUUAGUUCAUCAUUCAGUCCUUCCAAAAAUUUCUCCUGCUUGGCUGCAUCUGUAGCAACGUCAUCUGGUGCAUAACGUGCUAACUUACUGAAAUCCUCCACAUACUGGCCUACGGUGCGUCCUCCUUGGCGUAGGUUGCGAAACUCGCGCUUCUUCAUAGCCAUAGCUCCUGCUGAAACAUGGGCUGUACGGAAAGCUUGCUGAAACUGGUCCCAUGUGACAGUGUUAAUAGGGUGUGUGGCUGUGUAAUUCUCCCACCAUGAUGCUGCGGGUCCAUCAAGCUGAUGUGCGGCAAAACGCACUCUUUCCGCAUCUAUGCAUCCUGCAGUGGUCAACUCCCUUCCAACUUUGCGGAGCCAAUCAUCUGCAACAAUCGGCUCGGUGCUACUGGAAAACACCGGCGGGUUUAGCCUCAAGAAACGGGCUAAGUGAUCAACAGGUGGUGGUGGCGGUGGGUUGUUGUUGUUGUUGUUGCCUUGGUUCUGCACUAACACUUGCAUCAGGGCAUUCUGUUGCUGAAUCAACUGAGUGAUCUCUGGUGGGAAGACAAAUCCGGUGUCGCGUCUCGGAGGCAUCUGAUGGGUUAGAAAAGAUGAGAAUUAAGACUAGAAUGAGGUCUAGAGGGAAAACACUACCCAUAUGCUCAUGAGUCAAAUACAAUCAAUAUCACUCAAUCAAUUCAAACAAGGCAUACAAUCGAUCUAACUAGCGUUACAAAGUGCUUGAACUAUACUAUUAAAUGGGGGAAAACUACUACUGAUAUGGUGGUCUACUAGAAAUUCUGAUCAGUUGAAGACUCCAUGAUAUCUGCUCCAGCUUCAUCAACAAAGUCAUCUUCACUUGGUUCCGAGUCGGUGUCGUCGAUGAUGAUGUAGUUAUCCGGGCAAGUGCAUUCGUCAUCUUCUGCUUUUGGCACUGGAUUUCCCAUGAAUACUCCAAUCUUCUUCUCCAGGUCGUCAUUCUUCCCUACUAGUGCGACGAUUUCCUCCAAAUAAUCCUCGCGUGUAGCUUUGAGUUCUUCCUCCAGCUCCUUGAUCUUCGUCAAUGCCUUCUUCAGUUCUUCCUUGUCUGAGCACAUCUGGUUCUCCUGGCGAUGAAUGUGUUGGUUUUGCUCCUGGAUGAAAGCUGCAAUUGAUCCAUCCUUCUUGGUUCUGAUUAUCUCCCAUUGCUCGUAUCAGCGUUCACAAAUCUGAUAAAUUGUAUCCUUAAGCUCCUUGUGGUAGACUUCUCCAAUGCGUCCCAUAGCGAUGUGGGCGGCCAUGCUCUUCCCUAAACUCCAGGUUGGUGCUUAGAAAACCAAUCUUAUGGGUUCAGUAACUGGCACAAACGUCCUUCCUGGAAUGUGAACUUGAAUCUUCCAGCUCUCCUCUUCGGGUAAUGUGGCGUUGUAGGUUCCGGUGAUGCUUGGUAUUCCUAUGUUCAAGUACUUAGUGACUUCCUUCAAGUGUCGUCCAAAAGGCGUGUCUUCAUCUGGUUGCAUGAACUUGCUCCUUGCAUCCGCCAUUCCUAAAAGAGUAGAAAGUGGAGAGAGGUCAGAAAUGAGAAGAGAGAAGUGUUCUAGGGCUUAAGCUUAGUGGUCGUGUCCUACAGUCAGCGUGUGCUCUGAUACCACCUUUGUAGCGACCAGACCUCAAAUGGUCUGUGCUGCUGUGCACCAGUGUCAUCCCUGGAUCAGUAAUGCUGACACGCACAGUACAAAUGGAGGAUUUAUAACAGAGUAGCAAUCACACACUUAUUACAUCGAAUAUCUCCAAAGAGAAUAAGUAUGAUAAAUAUGGCUUAAGGCCAUCUAAAAACGAUAACAGCGGAAGACUUGGAAGAUAAGUGAGACCAUCAACUCCAACGGCAUCACUGAGUAUAAGACCACGACCUAAGGCACCUUACUCGUCGUCUGAAAAGUCUGCAACAUGAAAUGUUGCAGCCUGAAAACGGGUCAGCACAUGGAAUAUGCUGGCAAAAUAACACAUAGAGAAUAAUGAACAUAAUAAUGCUAUACUACAUGCAUAUAUGGCUGGUGGAAAGCUCUAUGGUUACAGUUUUGCGAAAAGCCAAUUUUUCCCUACUGCAAAGGAAUAAAUUUUAUUUAACUAUCAUGGUGGUUGUUGAACAUUGAGAUGGUUGACAGCAUCUCAAUCCCAAUUAAAAGUCAUCAUUAACCCAACAAAAUUAAUUAAAAGUAACAUAGUGAUGAGAUUCACAUGAUAAUCCAGGUACUAGAUACUCAAGUUGUCCAUAACCGGGGACACGGCUAACCAUGAUUAGUUUGUACACUCUGCAGAGGUUUGUGCACUUUUCCCCACAAGACUCGAUCUCCUCCGUUGGAUUACUCGCACUACAUGGUGUUUGAGUAACGGAUGACCGAGACACAGUCUUUCAGAAGUGUUUGCACCUUACGUAUGGGUAUACAGUUACACCUACUUUCCCCUACACCUGCUAGUCUACCACUGUAAGAGUUCACACAACUUAAUCAACUAUGCUAGAGCCCAUAAUAGCUUGCGGCUGCACACGGAAGUUUCUAGCAUGAAUAAUCUCAUGAUCCCUUUGAACCUGGGUGGCGGUCCAAAAGAAAAACAGGCAAUCCUGGAAUACCCAGGUACCUCAAUCCACCCAGAUGUGAGUUUUAGUUGCCACCUUAGGUAAACCAUUAAUUAACAAUCUCACAUAUGUCAUGGAAAUCUCUCAAACCCAAUCCACGUCUACGAGCAUAGCAUGGCAAUAUAAUAGCAACGUAGAAGUAACUCCCAAGGGUUUGAUAAAUAAAACAGGUAAUAGGUACUACCUCAUCUACUUCCCAAUACCCACAAUUUAAUUAGAUCCUAACCAUGCAAUGUUUGAGGAUUGAUCUAAUGCAAUAAAAACUAGGUAUGGAAAGGUAUGAUCAAAGUGUUACUUCCCUUGCUGAUGAUCCGCGAAACCUAGCGAUUCGAAGUAACAAGCGGCGCACUCCGGAUACUCUAUCGCAAACAAACAAGCAAACAAUAAGUACUCAUCUAAUGCACAGGUAAAACUCGAAUGAAAGAUCCAACCAGAAAGUUCAACUUAAGAACUCCGGUUUGCAAAAAGAAUCAACUCGAACGAAGCAACGAAAGUCAAACGGCGAAAGAAACAAGCUUCGUUUACUAAUCUGGAUCUAGGUCAAAUUUUACAGUAGCAAAAACUUGUUUGAGUAGGUUAAACGGAAAGAGAAUUUCGAGACGAAACUCUAGGCGCUUGAAUCGCCUGAUUCCGAUAAACGAGCGAAAAGUUAAACGAAAACGAAGAUCCGAUCAGAAAUCGAGAUCUGAAAUAAUCGGGAAAAAUCCGACGAAAAAGAAAAACUGACGAACGGUUAAAGAACGGACGUUCGUUAACAGAGAAAAUCCGACGAACACGUUCGUUAAAACGAACGGGUCGGUGAACGUUCACUAAAUAACAAAACCGAAGAAAAAAUAAACUGAUCUAGGGUUUUUUUUAACAUUCCGCCGAAAAAAUCACAAAAAAAUAAAUGAAAAUCCAAAAAAUAUAUAAAAACAAUUCCCCGUCUAGUUAAAAUAAUUAGAACAGGGUGAACAUUUGUUUGACAUAAAAUGCAGUUUUGAAAACGUGCAAAAAAAAUUAAUGCAAAUAAAAUCCGGAUAAAAUCCAAUAUAUGAUUUUAAUAUUUUUCCUCCAAUAUUUCAAUUGUUUUGGAGAAGUCAUAUUUUCUCCUCUCAUUUAUUUUUAACUGAAAUAUUUUUCCGGAGAGAAAAUAAUUAAAACCAAAAUCGUCGUUUUAUUAUUUGAUAAAAUCAAAUAUGAAAAAUCGAGAAAAUCCCCAUCUCUCUCCGAGGGUCCUUGAGUUGCUUAGGAUUUAUCGAGGAUUUGUCAAAAUGCAAUAAAAUAUGCUAUGCAAUGAAUGUUCUAUGUAUAACAUUCCAAAUUGAAAAUUUGGGAUGUUACAUGCUGAACUACGUAGGUCCACAAGGACACGUUCCGCACCAGAGUGGUACGGCAACCCUGUCCUGGAAAUCAUGUUGUUAGACAACGGUGAACCUUCGAACUAUGAAGAAGCGAUGGCGGGCCCGGAUUCUGACAAAUGGCUAGAAGCCAUGAAAUCCGAGAUAGGAUCCAUGUAUGAAAACGAAGUAUGGACUUUGACUGACUUGCCGAUGAUCGGCGAGCCAUAGAAAAUAAAUGGAUCUUUAAGAAGAAGACAGACGCGGAUGGUAAUGUGACCAUCUAUAAGGCUCGACUUGUCGCUAAGGGUUAUCGACAAGUUCAAGGGGUUGACUACGAUGAGACUUUCUCACCCGUAGCGAAGCUGAAGUCCGUCCGAAUCAUGUUAGCAAUUGCCGCAUUCUAUGAUUAUGAGAUAUGGCAAAUGGACGUCAAAACGGCAUUCCUUAACGGCUUCCUUAAGGAAGAAUUGUAUAUGAUGCAGCCGGAAGGUUUUGUCGAUCCUAAGAAUGCUGACAAAGUAUGCAAGCUCCAGCGCUCCAUCUAUGGGCUGGUGCAAGCAUCUCGGAGUUGGAACAUUCGUUUUGAUGAGAUGAUCAAAGCGUUUGGGUUUACACAGACUUAUGGAGAAGCCUGUGUUUACAAGAAAGUGAGUGGGAGCUCUGUAGCAUUUCUCUUAUUAUAUGUGGAUGACAUACUAUUGAUGGGAAAUGAUAUAGAAUUCUUGGAAAGUAUAAAGGCCUAUUUGAAUAAGUGUUUUUCAAUGAAGGACCUUAGAGAAGUUGCUUAUAUAUUAGGCAUCAAGAUCUAUAGAGAUAGAUCAAGAUGCCUCAUUGGUCUUUCACAGAGUACGUACCUUGACAAGAUAUUGAAGAAGUUCAAUAUGGAUCAGUCCAAGAAGGGGUUCUUGCCUGUAUUGCAAGGUGUGCAAUUGAGCACGGCUCAAUGCCCGACCACGGCGGAAGAUAGAGAAAAGAUGAGUGUCAUCCCCUAUGCCUCGGCCAUAGGGUCUAUUAUGUAUGACAUGCUGUGUACCAGACCUGAUGUAAACCUUGCCGUAAGUUUGGUAGGAAGGUACCAAAGUAAUCCCGGCAUGGAACACUGGACAGCGGUCAAGAAUAUCCUAAGUACCUGAAGAGGACUAAGGAUAUGUUUCUCGUUUAUGGACGUGACGAAGAGCUCGUCGUAAAGGGUUACGUCGACGCUAGCUUCGACACAGAUCUGGAUGACUUGAAGUCACAAACCGGAUACGUGUAUAUUUUGAAUGGAGGGGCAGUAAGCUGGUGCAGUUGCAAGCAAAGCGUCGUGGCGGGAUCUACAUGUGAAGCGGAGUACAUGGCAACCUCAGAGGCAGCGCAAGAAGCAGCCUGGAUGAAGGAGUUCAUUACCGACCUAGGGGUGAUUCCCAAUGCGUCGGGCCCGAUGACUCUCUUCUGUGACAACACUGGAGCUAUUGCCCUUGCCAAGGAGCCCAGGUUUCACAGGAAGACCAGGCAUAUCAAGCGUCGCUUCAACUCCAUUCGUGAAAGUGUUCAAAAUGGAGACAUAGAUAUUUGUAAAGUACAUACGGACCUGAAUGUAGCAGAUCCGUUGACUAAACCUCUCCCUAGAGCAAAACAUGAUCAACACCAGAACGCUAUGGGUGUUCGAUUCAUCACAAUGUAACUAGAUUAUUGACUCUAGUGCAAGUGGGAGACUGUUGGAAAUAUGCCCUAGAGGCAAUAAUAAAUGGUUAUUAUUAUAUUUCUUUGUUCAUGAUAAUUGUCUAUUGUUCAUGCUAUAAUUGUGUUAUCCGGAAAUCGUAAUACAUGUGUGAAUACAUAGACCACAACGUGUCCCUAGUAAGCCUCUAGUUGACUAGCUCGUUGAUCAACAGAUAGUCAUGGUUUCCUGACUAUGGACAUUGGAUGUCAUUGAUAACGAGAUCACAUCAUUAGGAGAAUGAUGUGAUGGACAAGACCCAAUCCUAAGCAUAGCACAAAAGAUCGUGUAGUUCGUUUGCUAGAGCUUUUCCAAUGUCAAGUAUCAUUUCCUUAGACCAUGAGAUCGUGCAACUCCCGGAUACCGUAGGAGUACUUUGGGUGUGCCAAACGUCACAACGUAACUGGGUGACUAUAAAGGUACACUACGGGUAUCUCCGAAAGUGUCUGUUGAGUUGGCACGGAUCGAGACUGGGAUUUGUCACUCCGUAUGACGGAGAGGUAUCUCUGGGCCCACUCGGUAAUGCAUCAUCAUAAUGAGCUCAAUGUGACUAAGGAGUUAGCCACGGGAUCAUGCAUUACGGUACGAGUAAAGUGACUUGCCGGUAACGAGAUUGAACAAGAUAUUGGGAUACCGACGAUCGAAUCUCGGGCAAGUAACGUACCGAUUGACACAGGGAAUUGUAUACGGGAUUGAUUGAAUCCUCGACAUCAUGAUUCAUCCGAUGAGAUCAUCGUGGAACAUGUGGGAGCCAACAUGGGUAUCCAGAUCCCGCUGUUGGUUAUUGACCGGAGAGGCGUCUCGGUCAUGUCUGCAUGUCUCCCGAACCCGUAGGGUCUACACACUUAAGGUUCGGUGACGCUAGGGUUGUAGAGAUAUUAGUAUGCGGAAACCUGAAAGUUGUUCGGAGUCCCGGAUGAGAUCCCGGACGUCACGAGGAGUUCCGGAAUGGUCCGGAGGUGAAGAAUUAUAUAUAGGAAGUCCAGUUUCGGCCACCGGGAAGGUUUCGGGGGUUAUCGGUAUUGUACCGGGACAACCGGAAGGGUCCCGGGGGUCCACCGGGUGGGGCCACCUAUCCCGGAGGGCCCCAUGGGCUGAAGUGGGAAGGUAACCAGCCCUUAGUGGGCUGGGGCGCCCCCCCCUGCGCCUAGGGUUGGAAACCCUAGGGGUGGGGGGNNNNNNNNNNNNNNNNNNNNNNNNNNNNNNNNNNNNNNNNNNNNNNNNNNNNNNNNNNNNNNNNNNNNNNNNNNNNNNNNNNNNNNNNNNNNNNNNNNNNNNNNNNNNNNNNNNNNNNNNNNNNNNNNNNNNNNNNNNNNNNNNNNNNNNNNNNNNNNNNNNNNNNNNNNNNNNNNNNNNNNNNNNNNNNNNNNNNNNNNNNNNNNNNNNNNNNNNNNNNNNNNNNNNNNNNNNNNNNNNNNNNNNNNNNNNNNNNNNNNNNNNGGAGAUCUGAUCUCCCAGGGCCGCCGCCCCCCAGGGGUCCCUAUAUAUAGUGGGGGGAGGGAGGGCAGCAGCACCACAGCCCCUGGCGCCUCCCUCUCCCCCUGCAACACCUCUCCCUCUCGCAGAAGCUUGGCGAAGCCCUGCCGAGAUCCCCGCUACUUCCACCACCACGCCGUCGUGCUGCUGGAUCUCCAUCAACCUCUCCUUCCCCCUUGCUGGAUCAAGAAGGAGGAGACGUCGUUGCUCCGUACGUGUGUUGAACGCGGAGGUGUCGUCCGUUCGGCACUCGGUCAUCGGUGAUUUGGAUCACGGCGAGUACGACUCCAUCAACCCCGUUCAUUGGAACGCUUCCGCUCGUGAUCUACAAGGGUAUGUAGAUGCACUCCUUUCCCCUCGUUGCUAUUAUACUCCAUAGAUGGAUCUUGGUGAUGCGUAGGAAAUUUUAAAAUUCUGCUACGAUCCCCAACAGGAACACGGAGACCGAAAGGUCGAGCGUGAAUCAUAUAGUAGAUAUGAUCAACAUAGUGAUGUUCACCGUUAAAACUACUCCAUCUCACGUGAUGAUCGGACAUGGUUUAGUUGAUAUGGAUCACGUGAUCACUUAAGAGGUCUAUCUAAGUGUGAGUUCUUAAGUAAUAUGAUUAAUUGAACUUAAAUUUAUCAUGAACUUAGUACGUGAUAGUAUCUUGCUUGUCUAUGUUGAUUGUAGAUAGAUGGCCCGUGUUGUUGUUCCAUUAAAUUUUAAUGCGUUCCUUGAGAAAGCAAAGUUGAAAGAUGAUGGUAGCAAUUACACGGACUGGGUCCGUAACUUGAGGAUUAUCCUCAUUGCUGCACAGAAGAAUUACGUCCUGGAAGCACCGCUGGGUACCAAGCCUGCUGCUGAUGCAACUGACGAUGUUAAGAACGUCUGGCAGAGCAAAGCUGAUGACUACUCGAUAGUUCAAUGUGCCACGCUUUACGGCUUAGAACCGGGACUUCAACGACGUUUUGAACGUCAUGGAGCAUAUGAGAUGUUCCAGAAGUAGAAGUUAAUAUUUCAAGCAAAUGCCCGGAUUGAGAGAUAUGAAGUCUCCAAUAAAUUCUACAGCUGCAAGAUGGAGGAGAAUAGUUCUGUCAGUGAGCAUAUACUCAAAAUGUCUGGGUAUAAUAAUCACUUGAUUCAACUGGGAGUUAAUCUUCCUGAUGAUAGCGUCAUUGACAGAAUUCUCCAAUCACUGCCACCAAGCUACAAGAGCUUCGUGAUGAACUAUAACAUGCAAGGGAUGGAUAAGACGAUUCCCGAGCUCUUCACAAUGCUAAAGGCUGCGGAGGUAGAAAUCAAAAAGGAGCAUCAAGUGUUGAUGGUCAAUUAGACCACCAGUUUUAAGAAAAAGGGAAAAGGGAAGAAGAAGGGGAACUUCAGAAGAACAGCAAGCAAGUUGCUGUUCAGGAGAAGAAACCCAAGUCUGGACCUAAACCUGAGACUGAGUGCUUCUACUACAAGCAGACUGGUCACUGGAAGCGGAACUGCCCCAAGUAUUUGGCGGAUAAGAAGGAUGGCAAGGUGAACAAAGGUAUAUGUGAUAUACAUGUUAUUGAUGUGUACCUUACUAAUGCUCGCAGUAUCACCUGGGUAUUUGAUACUGGUUCUGUUGCUAAUAUUUGCAACUCGAAACAAGGGCUACGGAUUAAGCGGAGAUUGGCUAAGGACGAGGUGACGAUGCGCGUGGGAAAUGGUUCCAAAGUCGAUGUGAUCGCGGUCGGCACGCUACUUCUACAUCUACCUUCGGGAUUAGUUUUAGACCUAAAUAAUUGUUAUUUGAUGCCAGCGUUAAGCAUGAACAUUAUAUCUGGAUCUUGUUUGAUGCGAGACGGUUAUUCAUUUAAAUCAGAGAAUAAUGGUUGUUCUAUUUAUAUGAGUAAUAUCUUUUAUGGUCAUGCACCCUUGAAGAGUGGUCUAUUUUUGUUGAAUCUCGAUAGUAGUGACACACAUAUUCAUAAUAUUGAAGCCAAAAGAUGCAGAGUUGAUAAUGAUAGUGCAACUUAUUUGUGGCACUGCCGUUUAGUUCAUAUCGGUGUAAAGCGCAUGAAGAAACUCCAUGCUCAUGGACUUUUGGAACCACUUAAUUAUGAAUCACUUGGUACUUGCGAACCAUGCCUCAUGGGCAAGAUGACUAAAACGUCGUUCUCCGGAACUAUGGAGAGAGCAACAGAUUUGUUGGAAAUCAUACAUACAGAUGUAUGUGGUCCGAUGAAUGUUGAGGCUCGUGGCCGAUAUCGUUAUUUUCUCACCUUCACAGAUGAUUUAAGCAGAUAUGGAUAUAUCUACUUAAUGAAACAUAAGUCUGAAACAUUUGAAAAGUUCAAAGAAUUUCAGAGUGAAGUUGAAAAUCAUCGUAACAAGAAAAUAAAGUUUCUACGAUCUGAUCGUGGAGGAGAAUAUUUGAGUUAUGAGUUUGGUCUUCAUUUGAAACAAUGCGGAAUAGUUUCGCAACUCACGCCACCCGGAACACCACAGCGUAAUGGUGUGUCCGAAUGUCGUAAUCGUACUCUACUAGAUAUGGUGCGAUCUAUGAUGUCUCUUACUGAUUUACCGCUAUCGUUUUGGGGUUAUGCUUUAGAGACGGCCGCAUUCACAUUAAAUAGGGCACCAUCAAAAUCCGUUGAGACGACGCCUUAUGAACUGUGGUUUGGCAAGAAACCAAAGUUGUCGUUUCUUAAAGUUUGGGGCUGCGAUGCUUAUGUGAAAAAGCUUCAACCUGAUAAGCUCGAACCCAUAUCGGAGAAAUGUGUCUUCAUAGGAUACCCAAAGGAGACUGUUGGGUACACCUUCUAUCACAGAUCCGAAGGCAAGACUUUUGUUGCUAAAUUCGGAAUCUUUCUGGAGAAGGAGUUUCUCUCGAAAGAAGUGAGUGGGAGGAAAGUAGAACUUGAUGAGGUAAUUGUACCUGCUCCCUUAUUGGAAAGUAGUUCAUUGCAGAAACCGGUUUCUGCGACGCCUACACCAAUUAGUGAGGAAGUUAAUGAUGAUGAUCAUGGAACUUCAGACCAAGUUGUUACUGAACCUCGUAGGUCAACCAGAGUAAGAUCCGCACCAGAGCGGUACGGUAAUCCUGUUCUGGAGGUUAUGCUACUAGACCAUGACAAACCUACGAACUAUGAAGAAGCGAUGGUGAGCCCAGAUUCCGCGAAAUGGCUUGAGGCCAUGAAAUCUGAGAUGGGAUCCAUGUGUGAGAACAAAGUGUGGACUUUGGUUGACUUGCCCGAUGAUCGGCAAGCAAUUGAGAAUAAAUGGAUCUUCAAGAAGAAGACUGACGCUGACGGUAAUGUUACUGUCUAUAAAGCUCGACUUGUUGCAAAAGGUUUUCGACAAGUUUAAGGGAUUGACUACGAUGAGACCUUCUUACCUGUAGCGAUGCUUAAGUCUGUCCGAAUCAUGUUAGCAAUUGACGCAUUUUAUGAUUAUGAAAUUUGGCAAAUGGAUGUCAAAACUGCAUUCCUGAAUGGAUUUCUGGAAGAAGAGUUGUAUAUGAUGCAACCGGAAGGUUUUGUCAAUCCAAAGGGAGCUAACAAAGUGUGCAAGCUCCAGCGAUCUUUAUGGAUUGGUGCAAGCCUCUCGGAGUUGGAGUAAAUGUUUUGAUAGUGUGAUCAAAGCAUUUUGGUUUUGUACAGACUUUUGGAGAAGCCUGUAUUUACAAGAAAGUGAGUGGGAGCUCUGUAGCAUUUCUAAUAUUAUAUGUGGAUGACAUAUUUCUGAUUGGAAAUGAUAUAGAAUUUCUGAAUAGCAUAAAGGGAUACUUGAAUAAGAGUUUUUCAAUGAAAGACCUCGGUGAAGCUGCGUAUAUAUUGGGCAUCAAGAUCUAUAGAGAUAGAUCAAGACGCUUAAUUGGACUUUCACAAAGCACAUACCUUGACAAAGUUUUGAAGAAAUUCAAAAUGGAUCAAGCAAAGAAAGGGUUCUUGCUUGUGUUACAAGGUGUGAAGUUGAGUAAGACUCAAUGCCCGACCACUUCAAAAGAUAGAGAGAAGAUGAAAGAUGUUCCCUAUGCUUCAGCCAUAGGCUCUAUCAUGUAUGCAAUGCUGUGUACUAGACCUGAUGUGUGCCUUGCUAUAAGUUUAGCAGGGAGGUACCAAAGUAAUCCAGGAGUGGAUCACUGGACAGCGGUCAAGAAUAUCCUGAAAUACCUGAAACGGACUAAGGAUAUGUUUCUCGUUUAUGGAGGUGACAAAGAGCUCAUCGUAAAUGGUUACAUUGAUGCAAGCUUUGACACUGAUCCGGACGAUUCUAAAUCGCAAACCAGAUACGUGUUCACAUUGAACGGUGGAGCUGUCAGUUGGUGCAGUUCUAAACAAAGCGUCGUGGCGGGAUCUACGUGUGAAGCGGAGUACAUAGCUGCUUCGGAAGCAGCAAAUGAAGGAGUCUGGAUGAAGGAGUUCAUAUCCGAUCUAGGUGUCAUACCUAGUGCAUCGGGUCCAAUGAAAAACUUUUGUGACAAUACUGGUGCAAUUGCCUUGGCGAAGGAAUCCAGAUUUCACAAGAGAACCAAGCACAUCAAGAGACGGUUCAAUUCCAUCCAGGAUUUAGUCCAGGUGGGAGACAUAGAAAUUUUCAAGAUACAUACGGAUCUGAAUGUUGCAGACCCGUUGACUAAGCCUCUUCCACGAGCAAAACAUGAUCAGCACCAAGGCUCCAUGGGUGUUAGAAUCAUUACUGUGUAAUCUAGAUUAUUGACUCUAGUGCAAGUGGGAGACUGAAGGAAAUAUGCCCUAGAGUCAAUAAUAAAGUUAUUAUUUAUUUCCUUAUAUCAUGAUAAAUGUUUAUUAUUCAUGCUAGAAUUGUAUUAACCGGAAACAUAAUACUGGUGUGAAUACAUAGACAAACAGAAUGUCACUAGUAUGCCUCUACUUGACUAGCUCGUUGAUCAAAGAUGGUUAUGUUUCCUAGCCAUAGACAUGAGUUGUCAUUUGAUUAACGGGAUCACAUCAUUAGGAGAAUGAUGUGAUUGACUUGACCCAUUCCGUUAGCUUAGCACUCGAUCGUUUAGUAUGUUGCUAUUGCUUUCUUCAUGACUUAUACAUGUUCCUAUGACUAUGAGAUUAUGCAACUCCCGUUUACCGGAGGAACACUUUGUGUGCUACCAAACGUCACAACGUAACUGGGUGAUUAUAAAGGUGCUCUACAGGUGUCUCCGAAGGUACUUGUUGGGUUGGCGUAUUUCGAGAUUAGGAUUUUUCACUCCAAUUGUCGGAGAGGUAUCUCUGGGCCCUCUCGGUAAUGCACAUCACUUAAGCCUUGCAAGCAUUGCAACUAAUGAGUUAGUUGUGGGAUGAUGUAUUACGGAACAAGUAAAGAGACUUGUCGGUAACGAGAUUGAACUAGGUAUUGAGAUACCGAUGAUCGAAUCUCGGGCAAGUAACAUACCGAUGACAAAGGGAACAAUGUAUGUUGUUAUGCGGUCUGACCGAUAAAGAUCUUCGUAGAAUAUGUGGGAGCCAAUAUGAGCAUCCAGGUUCCGCUAUUGGUUAUUGACCGGAGACGUGUCUCGGUCAUGUCUACAUAGUUCUCGAACCCGUAGGGUCCGCACGCUUAACGUUUCGAUGACAGUUAUAUUAUGAGUUUAUAUGUUUUUAUGUACUGAAGGUUGUUCGGAGUCCCGGAUGUGAUCACGGACAUGAUGAGGAGUCUCGAAAUGGUCGAGACAUGAAGAUUGAUAUAUUGGAAGCCUAUAUUUGGAUAUCGGAAGUGUUCCGGGUAAAAUCGGGAUUUUACCGGAGUACCGAGGGGUUACCGGAACCCCCCGGGGGCUUAAUGGGCCAUAGUGGGCCUUUGUGGAGAAGAGGAGAGGCGGCCAGGGCAGGGCCAUGCGCCCCUCCCCCCUUAGUCCGAAUAGGACAAGGAGAGGGGGCGGCGCCCCCCCCUUUCCUUCCUCUCUCCCUCCUCUUUCCCCCUCCACUCCUAAUCCAACUAGGAAAAGGGAGGGAGUCCUACUCCUGGUGGGAGUAGGACUCCACCUGGCGCGCCCCUCUUGGCCGGCCGCACCUCCCCCCCUUGCUCCUUUAUAUACGGGGGCAGGGGCACCCUAGAGACAGAACAAUUGAUCGUUUGAUCUUUUAGUUGUGUGCGGUGCCCCCCUCCGCCAUAGUCCACCUCGAUAAUAUUGUAGCUGUGCUUAGGCGAAGCCCUGCGUCGGUAGAACAUCAUCAUCGUCACCACGCCGUCGUGCUGAUGAAACUCUCCCUCAACACUCGGCUGGAUCGGAGUUUGAGGGACGUCAUCGGGCUGAACGUGUGCUGAACUCGGAGGUGCCGUGCGUUCGGUACUUGAUCAGUCGGAUCAUGAAGACGUACGACUACAUCAACCGCGUUGUGCUAACGCUUCCGCUUUCGGUCUACGAGGGUACGUGGACAACACUCUCCCAUCUCGUUGCUAUGCAUCACCAUGAUCUUGCGUGUGCGUAGGAAUUUUUUUGAAAUUACUGCGUUCCCCAACAGUAGAAACGAGGGCGAGGAAAAUUUCGGGGAGUUCCUGGCUACGGUGGGUGUUCGGGGCCGAGGAAUGCAUAGAGGUUUGCGCGUUUCUCUCAUACACUACGCGCGCCUGUGUGGGGCGUUGGGAUCUAACUGAACCCGAGCGAGGCAUUCGCUUACUGAACCUGAGCGAUUGCACUGGCUACGCGUUACUGAACCCGAGCGAUCGAUCGAUCCCUAGCUGUUAACUGAACCCGAUCGAGCGAUUCCUUCGCUACUGUUGCUAACUGAAGCCGAUCGAACCUGCUGCCUCUUGAUGAACAUUGAGCGUUGUUGGGGGUUGGAUGAACAGUUCCCGGUGGAGGUUUGAUGAACAGGACCCCGUGGUAGUAGAGGCCGUUGCCGCUGGAUGAACAGGACCCCAAUCGAGAGGAGGCCACCACACACCCAAGCCGGUUGGGGUGGAUGAACAGGACCCCGUGGAGGGCUGGUUGAACUGGACCCCGUGUGGAGGGCUGGUUGAACAGUAGCCGGUGGAGGCUGGAUGAACAGGACCCCGUGGAAGGAUGGUUGAACAGUAGCCGGUGGAGGCUGGAUGAAUAGGAGCCCGUGGAGGAAGGAGGGAGACACCGUGGAUGAACAGUAGCAGGUGGAGGCUGGAGGAGGUUGACGGUGGAUGAACAGUAGCCCGUGGAGUCCCGUUUUGCGGUACGCCACACCCCUCCCGAUGAACAGGACCCCGUUUCGACCGUAGGAGGUCGAAGAGAAGUCCGUUUCCUCCGUUUUGAGGUACGCCAGACCCCUCCCGAUGAAUAGGAUCCCGUUUCGACCAUAGGCGGUCGAAUAGAAGGCCGUUUCCUCUGUUCUGCGGUACGACAGGCCUCGUUUCGGCUGUUCCGUCCAAGCUGGUUGGCUCCCGAUGAACAGGAUGCAUUCCGUUGCCUCCCGAUGAACACGACGCAGUUUCUUCGUUCUGACCCAGCCGGUUGGCUGCCGAUGAACAGGACGCCGUUGCUGCCCUCUACUGCCUCUCCAUGUACACGAGCCCUGGCCAUACAUAUGCGCGAGUAGGCGUUCGAGACUCCGCCUGUAUGUACAUACGUGGCCGUAUUUACUUUCUUGCACCCUGGCUGUACGUAUGUGUACACGAUAUAGAUGGGACUACGUGACAUGCUAUGCCCGCGCCUCUACUACGACACGUGCCCUUCCUUACUCGGCCACGGUUCAUCCCUGCAGCCUGCAGACAGACCGAUCGACCAGUAUGUACGUACACGUUCAUGACUAGACAAACAACCCUACGUACGGUUCGACCGGGUGGGUCCCAGAUGUCAGGGAGGUAAGGAUACACUUUCUUGCGUGCGAAGAUAUAGUUGGUGGGUCCCAGCUCUCAGGGGGAGAAUCAUAUUUUUUGCCCGUAAUAUGGACGCACUUCCUUGCGUGCAAAAAUGUAGCUGGUGGGUCCCAGCAGUCAGGGCGAAACGUUUUUUUCGCGAAAUACGGUGGCCCGUCCGGUGGGUCCCUGCUGUCAGGUGGAGGAAUCAUUAUUUUGCGUGUAAUAAGCAGGCACUUCCUUGCUGCGGCCAUGGACCCAACUGUCAGCCUCUCCACGUACAGUCCUCUUCUGAUGGAAGUCGUUCCUUGACCACAUUGACCACGACGCGCCGAGAGCACCAAGGCGGUGGACGACGGCGAGGCCUAGGAAGGGGACGAUGCGGAGCCAGGGAAGAUGCGGCAGUGGAUGCCCACGCGGAGAGGAGUACGAGGGUUGACUGGUUCAACUGCGGUGUGAGGCUGUCGUCGCCGCAGAAUAACAUGGGUUGUGGGUGAGUAGAGGGAUGGCCUGGCCAGAGAUUGGAGUAGAGUGGGGCGGUGAGGCCUGCGCGGCAAUAGAGCCGGCCACGGGAGGCAGGAGCAGGCGGCAGAACCGGCGCUGGUUUUGAGCGGCUGGAGCAAGAAGACCAGAGGUUGAAGAAGUACUACGGCCAUUGGAUGGACAUCGUACGGUCACUGGAGCUAGAAUCAUUCAUAUUGACUAAGUUGACAAAGCCCUCCGUCCGCGUCAACUUAGUAGGCCCACAAGUCUGCUUCCCACUAUGGUGGGUCCCAGCUCGCAGGGGAAGUAUUCAUUUUUUGUGCGUAAUAAGGAGGCACUUCCUUGCGUGCGAAGAUAUAGUUGGUGGGUCCGAGCUGUCAGCGGGAGGAACGUUUAUUUCGCGAAAUACAGAGGCCCUUCCGGUGGGUCCCAGCUGUCAGGUGGAGGAAUCAUUAUUUUGCGCGUAAUAAGGAGGCACUUGCUUCUGUGGGUCCCUACUGUCAGCCUCUACACUUACAUCGCUCUUCCGAUGGUUGUUGUUUGUUGACCAUGUUGACCACGCCGCGCCAAGACCACAAACGCGGUGGACGAGGGUGAUGCCCAGGAAGGGAACGACCCGGAGCCGGCGAAGCCACAGCAGCGGAUGCCCGCGCUGAGGGGAGUACGAGCGCUGACUGGUCGGCUGCGGGGUGAGGCUGACAUUGCCGGAAAAUAACAGGAUGUGCGGGUGGGUAGUGGGAUGGCCUGGAGGCAGCACAAACCAGCCACGGGAGGAGGGAGCAAGCAGUCCCGCCGGCGCUGGUUUGGGCGCUGGAGCAGGAAGAUCAGAGAUUGAAGAAGCACGAUGGCCGUUGGAUGGACAUCCAACAGUCACUGCUCUGUGUUGACUAAGUUGAGAAAGCCUUGCGUACGUGUCAAUUUUUUUAGGACAGCGUCAUUGUCAACCUAGUAGGUCCAGAAGUCAGCCUCCAAAUUUGUGGAAAACAGCAUACAGCCCAUUAGCCAUUAUUUUCAAUAAUUUACAGCCCAUUUGCUAAUUCUUAAGGAUAUUUUGAAGCCCAUAUUCUUUUUAUUAGCAUUACAGACCAUAUUCUAGGCACUGCUAAAAAUUUCAAUGAAAUUUUGCAUAUUUCGGUGGGGUCUGAACUCUUUUAAUCAUGAAAUUUCGAGUCACGUUAAAAAUAAUUUUAAAAAAAUUAUAUCAAAAUAAAAUUCAAAAAAAUUCUCCGCAAAAAAAUGAAUGAAAUUUAAAAUCUUGACCAGCAAGAUGCCCGUGCAUUGCACAGAACAUCAAGAUGCAUUUGUAUGAGUAGUUUAUCUUGUGGGAGAAAAGGAUGAACGAGGGAAGGUCGUAUCUGCAAAUGUGGAGAGGAGUGCGGGUAAAUUGUCAUAGUUUCCUUCAUAUCCGUUAGAUAUAGAUCGGACGACCUAUAUUGCAGGAUGGCAGGCACACCAUCAUCACCAACUCUGUUUUUUUAUAAGAGUAGAGAAAUCCAGAAACAAGAUAUUUGAAUGUAAUUGCCGGUUGGCUUUGGUUUAAAAAUUUACACCCCAUUUCUUACAACUUAUAGCCCAUUUUCUGGGGAAGCCCAUUUCUUACUACUUACAUCCCUCCUCGUCUUGAAAGAUUUGCAGCCCAGCAGGGGCUGAGAAAAGCAAGUAGGCUUCAGUUGGUUAUUCUCCAAAAAAAGAAUCGGGCUAGCCAUUUUCAGAAAGAAAAAAGAUAUCAACUGGGCUCGUCAUGUGCUUAAAUAAAAGCGUAAACAUGGGCUAGACGGGCCACAGCCCCCGCACAGCGCGCAGUUGGGCUCCGUCUCUAAAACUAAAAAACAACUGGGCGAGCUGCUGGGUCCCUGGUGUUAUCCGCUCGUUGUGUAAUUUUUUCGUUUAUUGACUACAUUGACAAUGGCGUGGGACCUAGUUGUCAAACAAUUAGGAGAAAAUGUUUUUUUGGCUUGUAACAAUGAGGCACAAGUUUGCGUAAUGCAAUGACCCUGGUGGGUCCCUACUGUCAGCCUCUCUACGUACAAUCAUCUCCUGAUUCCUCUCUGUUGUUGACCAUGUUGACAACGCCAGAUGGCGGCGGGCACAACGAGCGAACCAAGGCGGAGAAUGACGGCGGGGCCUCGGAUAGGAACGAACAGGAGCCGUGGAAGAUGCGGCAGUGUAGUGGCAGGCGGAGGGGAGUACGAGGGCAACAACAUGUAACUCAAGCUUACAAGCGAUACAAAAAGCCCAAGGAUUAAUUGUUUAUCAAAUUUAGACAAAACUCAGAUUGAACAUGGCAAUAACAUCUAACCCAAUCACUCUUUUUUGCAGUCACAAACAAAUGGAUCGGUCUGAUCCAUAAAAUCAACAUCCUGUGGAAAAAAUUAUUGGAGGAUGACUACAAGUUGUUGUAAAUAGAAGCCGAGCACGUUCAGAAGCCCAUUUGUCCACCUGAAACUUAUUGUUUUGUUGUUCAACAUGUCCGUUUGUGAGAAAUUUCUUGUUGGAAAACUUAAGCCUCGUGGAAAGUAGUAACCUCGCAUUAAACAGGAAGAAUGUGACAAAGCUUCUGUUUGCCUGGUUGGAUGCAUAUCCUUCCAUCGUUAUUGUCCUCAAACAAAUGUCAUGAGAACUGAGAAAAUCCUGGUGCUUAUUACGCCACCGAUUGGUUAUAUGUUUUUCUCCAUGUGUUAGUGCCUAAGUAGACAUGAAGAUUGAAAACAAUUAAGGUCUGAAAAAGGAGUAUGUCAAAAUAGCAACAGCUGAACGGUUAAUUCUAGUACAAUAUAUACGGGCUUUCAACAUGCAUGAAAUCAUCACUUUUAUAUAUAAAUUCUCCAGACAUCGAAAGCAUCGCAGGAAGCCAAUAAUUAUGUUUAGAUCAUAACUAAACAUUCCGAUAUACAAUAUCUUGAUUCAAUCCAGCAGAAUUGAUAGGCUAUCCAUGGACGAACUCUUCAUUGAGCAUAUAACAUAAUAUUAGUACCCAAAGUGUACUCCAAAAUGAUAUAAAACUUAUGCGCACAAAUAAAAAAUGCAGCUUAUGAUUACAAAUGUGUAGAUGAUAAUAUACGGUACCUAAAAAAGUGAGGAGCCAAACACCAACUUGUUGUGAUCAUUAAACGGAUCACUAAUUACACCCAAGGUCUCCAGUUUGGGCACAGAGACGACAGUUAUUUGCGAAGGUUUAUAACAAUAAGGAAGGAGCAACCUUUGAAGUGAAGGGGCAUCUUCGAUGAUGAGCUGCUAUCCUUCAAAACAAAUUCCAAUGCUUUUAAGGUGAGGCGACUUUAUUUGGAGACAACUGAUAGGGAUUUCUGUUCCCAAAACAAUCAACAAGCGCUCCAGGGUAGGGCAACUGGAGUGGAUAAUGUUUUGAAGUGAGGCCUCCGAUAGAUAAACCAUCAUAAGCGAAAAUUUUUGUAGCCGUGGGAGUCGAAGCAUUUGUACCAGAUCGUCUGGUAGAUGGCACCGAGCGAAGGUCGUGGUGUGGAGAGAGGAGGAAAACCACGAGAUGGACAAUGGUAGUGUGGGUACAAAUUCUUGGUGCUCGGUUCAUGGUAUGAAACUUUCGUGGCAAUGGUAGAACUCAAACUGCUGGAGUUUUUCGAAUUCAGGGGAUGUCAGCCAAGUGUCCAUCAUGCAGGUAUGGACAGCAGGUAGCGCGUCGGGAUGCAGAGGCUUUGAACGGGGCCCUGCUGGUGAGAGGAGAUGAUGGCUCUGAGGAGAUCAAAUUCAGGAAGGACAGAUAUCUAAUGACAGUCAAGAUUGAGGCGCGCGGUGCGCCAUAGAGGGUGCCACCGAGUUGAGAGGAGCUAUGUGCGGCAGCAAUCCUUGGUGGGGAGAAGCGAGAUGAUCUUGUUGGGGAACGUAGUAAUUUCAAAAAAAUUCCUACGCACACGCAAGAUCAUGGUGAUGCAUAGCAACGAGAGGGGAGAGUGUUGUCCACGUACCCUCGUAGACCGACAACGGAAGCGUUAUCACAACGCGGUUGAUGUAGUCGUACGUCUUCACGAUCCGACCGAUCAAGUACCGAACGUACGGCACCUCCGAGUUCUACACACGUUCAGCUCGAUGACGUCCCUCGAACUCCGAUCCAGCCGAGUGUUGAGGGAGAGUUUCGUCAGCACGACGGCGUGGUGACGAUGAUGAUGUUCCACUGACGCAGGGCUUCGCCUAAGCUCCGCAACGGUAUUAUCGAGGUGUAAUAUGGUGGAGGGGGGCACCGCACACGGCUAAGAGAUCUCAAGGAUCAAUUGUUGUGUCUAUGGGGUGCCCCCUGCCCCCGUAUAUAAAGGAGCAAGGGGGAGGCGGCCGGCCAAGGGGAGAGGCGCGCCAAGGGGGGGAGUCCUACUCCCACCGGGAGUAGGACUCCUCCUUUCCUUGUGGGAGUAGGAGAAGGGAAGGGGGAAGGAGAAAGAAGGAAGGGUGCGCCCCCCUUCCCUAGUCCAAUUCGGAGGGUGCGGCCACCUUUUGAGGCCUUUCUCUCCUUUCCCGUAUGGCCCAUUAAGGCCCAAUACGAAUUCCCGUAACUCUCCGGUACUCCGAAAAAUACCCGAAUCACUCGGAACCUUUCCGAAGUCCGAAUAUAGUCGUCCAAUAUAUCGAUCUUUACGUCUCGACCAUUUCGAGACUCCUCGUCAUGUCCCCGAUCUCAUACGGAACUCCGAACUCCUUCGGUACAUCAACAUACAUAAACUCAUAAUAAAACUGUCAUCGUAACUUUAAGCGUGCGGACCCUACGGGUUCGAGAACUAUGUAGACAUGACCGAGACACGUCUCCGGUCAAUAACCAAUAGCGGGACCUGGAUGCCCAUAUUGGCUCCCACAUAUUCUACGAAGAUCUUUAUCGGUCAGACCGCAUAACAACAUACGUUGUUCCCUUUGUCACCGGUAUGUUACUUGCCCGAGAUUUGAUCGUCGGUAUCUCGAUACCUAGUUCAAUCUCGUUACCGGCAAGUCUCUUUACUCAUUCCGUAACACAUCAUCCCGCAACUAACUCAUUAGUCACAAUGUUUGCAAGGCUUAUAGUGAUGUGCAUUACCGAGUGGGCCCAGAGAUACCUCUCCGACAAUUGGAGUGACAAAUCCUAAUCUCGAAAUACGCCAACCCAACAAGUACCUUUGGAGACACCUGCAGAGCACCUUUAUAAUCACCCAUUUACGUUGUGACGUUUGGUAGCACACAAAGUGUUCCUCCGGUAAACGGGAGUUGCAUAAUCUCAUAGUCAUAGGAACAUGUAUAAGUCAUGAAGAAAGCAAUAGCAACAUACUAAACGAUCGAGCGCUAAGCUAACGGAAUGGGUCAAGUCAAUCACGUCAUUCUCCUAAUGAGGUGAUCUCGUUAAUCUAAUGACAACUUAUGUCUAUGGCUAGGAAACAUAACCAUCUUUGAUUAACGAGCUAGUCAAGUAGAGGCAUACUAGUGACACUCUGUUUGUCUAUGUAUUCACACAUGUAUUAUGUUUCCGGUUAAUACAAUUCUAGCAUGAAUAAUAAACAUUUAUCAUGAUAUAAGGAAAUAAAUAAUAACUUUAUUAUUGCCUCUAGGGCAUAUUUCCUUCAGUCUCCCACUUGCACUAGAGUCAAUAAUCUAGUUCACAUCGCCAUGUGAUUUAACAUGAAUAGUUCACAUCACCAUGUGAUUAACACCCAUAGUUCACAUCGUCAUGUGACCAUCACCCAAAAGGGUUUUACUAGAGUCAGUAAUCUAGUUCACAUCACUAUGUGAUUAACACCCAAAGAGUACUAAGGUGUGAUCAUGUUUUGCUUGUGAGAUAAUUUUAGUCAACGGGUCUGUCACAUUCAGAUCAGUAAGUAUUUUGCAAAUUUCUAUGUCUACAAUGCUCUGCAUGGAGCUACUCUAGCUAAUUGCUCCCACUUUCAAUAUGUAUCUAGACCGAGACUUAGAGUCAUCUAGAUUAGUGUCAAAACUUGCAUCGACGUAACCUUUUACGAUGAGCCUUUUGUCACUUCCAUAAUCGAGAAACAUAUCCUUAUUCCAGUAAGGAUAAUUUUGACCGCUGUCCGGUGAUCUACUCCUAGAUCACUAUUGUACUCCCUUGCCAAAAUCAGUGUAGGGUAUACAAUAGAUCUGGUACACAGCAUGGCAUACUUUAUAGGACCUAUGGCCGAGGCAUAGGGAAUGACUUUCAUUCUUUUUCUAUCUUCUGCCGUGGUCGGGUUUUGAGUCUUACUCAAUUUCACACCUUGUAACACAGGCAAGAAACUCUUUCUUUGACUGUUCCAUUUUGAACCACUUCAAAAUCUUGUUAAGGUAUGUAAUCAUUGAAAAAACUUAUCAAGCGUCUUGAUCUAUCUCUAUAGAUCUUGAUGCUCAAUUUGUAAGCAGCUUCACCGAGGUCUUUCUUUGAAAAACUCCUUUACGCUUUGCAGAAUAAUUCUACAUUAUUUUCGAUCAACAAUAUGUCACUUACAUAUACUUAUCAGAAAUGUUGUAGUGCUCCCACCCACUUUCUUGUAAAUACAGGCUUCACCGCAAGUCUGUAUAAAACCAUAUCCUUUGAUCAACUUAUCAAAGCGUAUAUUCCUACUCCGAGAUGCUUGCACCAGUCCAUAGAUGGAUCGCUGGAGCUUGCAUAUUUUGUUAGCACCUUUAGGAUUGACAAAACCUUCUGGUUGCAUCAUAUACAACUCUUCUUUAAUAAAUCCAUUAAGGAAUAUAGUUUUGUUUAUCCAUUUGCCAUAUUUCAUAAAAUGCGGCAAUUGCUAACAUGAUUCAGACAGACUUAAGCAUAGAUACGAGUGAGAAACUCUCAUCGUAGUCAACACCUUGAACUUGUCGAAAAACCUUUUUGCGACAAUUCUAGCUUUGUAGAUAGUAACACUACUAUCAUCGUCCAUCUUUCUCUUGGCGAUCCAUUUAUUCUCAAUUUCUUGCCGAUCAUCGGGCAAGUCAAUCAAAGUCCAUACUUUGUUCUCAUACAUGGAUCCCAUCUCAGAUUUCAUGGCCUCAAGCCAUUUUGCGGAAUCUGGGCUCACCAUCGCUUCUUCAUAGUUCGUAGGUUCGUCAUGGUCUAGUAACAUAACCUCCAGAACAGGAUUACCGUACCACUCUGGUGCGGAUCUUACUCUGGUUGAUCUACGAGGUUCAGUAAUAACUUGAUCUGAAGUUUCAUGAUCAUCAUCAUUAACUUCCUCACUAAUUGGUGUAGGUGGCUCAGAAACUGGUUUCUGUGAUGAACUACUUUCCAAUAAGGGAGCAGGUAUAGUUACCUCAUCAAGUUCUACUUUCCUCCCACUCACUUCUUUCGAGAGAAACUCCUUUUCUAGAAAAUUUCCGAAUUUAGCAACAAAAGUUUUGCCUUCGGAUCUGUGAUAGAAGGUAUACCCAACAGUCUCCUUUGGGUAUCCUAUGAAGACACAUUUCUCCGAUUUGGGUUCGAGCUUAUCAGGUUGAAGUUUCUUCACAUAAGCAUCGCAGCCCCAAACUUUAAGAAACGACAACUUUGGUUUCUUGCCAAACCACAGUUCAUAAGGCGUCGUCUCAACGGAUUUUGAUGGUGCCCUAUUUACGUGAAUGUAGCUGUCUCUAAUGCAUAACCCCCAAAACGAUUAGUGGUAAAUUGGUAAGAGACAUCAUAGAUUGCACUAUAUCCAAUAAAGUACGGUUAUGACGUUCGGACACACCAUUAUGCUGUGGUGUUCCAGGUGGCGUGAGUAGUGAAACUAUUUCACAUUGUUUUAACUGAAGGCCAAACUCGUAACUAAAAUACUCUUCUCCACGAUCAAAUCAUAGAAACUUUAUUUUCUUGUUACGAUGAUUUUCGCUUCACUCUGAAAUUAUAUGAACUUUUCAAAUGUUUCAGACUUCUGUUUCAUUAAGUAGAUAUACCCAUAUCUGCUCAAAUCAUCUGUGAAGGUCAGAAAAUAAUGAUACCUGCUACGAUCCUCAAUAUUCAUUGGACCACAUACAUCUGUAUGUAUGAUUUCCAACAAAUCUGUUGCUCUCUCCAUAGUUCCGGAGAACGGCGUUUUAGUCAUCUUGCCCAUGAGGCACGGUUCGCAAGCAUCAAGUGAUUCAUAAUCAAGUGAUUCCAAAAUCCCAUCAGUAUGGAGUUUCUUCAUGCGCUUUACACCAAUAUGACCUAAACGGCAGUGCCACAAAUAAGUUGCACUAUCAUUAUUAACUUUGCAUCUUUUGGCUUCAAUAUUAUGAAUAUGUGUAUCACUACGAUCGAGAUCCAACAAACCAUUUUCGUUGGUGUGUAUGACCAUAGAAGGUUUUUAUUCAUGUAAACAGAACAACAAUUGUUCUCUAACUUAAAUGAAUAACCGUAUUGCAAUAAACAUGAUCAAAUCAUAUUCAUGCUCAACGCAAACACCAAAUAACACUUAUUUAGUUUCAACACUAAUCCCGAAAGUAUAGGGAGUGUGCGACGAUGAUCAUAUCAAUCUUGGAACUACUUCCAACACACAUCGUCACCUCGCCUUUUACUAGUCUCUGUUUAUUCUGCUACUCCCGUUUUCGAGUUACUACUCUUUAGCAACUGAACCAGUAUCAAAUACUGAGGGGUUGCUAUAAACACUAGUAAGUACACAUCAAUAACAUGUAUAUCCAAUAUACCUUUGUUCACUUUGCCAUCUUUCUUAUCCACCAAAUACUUGGGGCAGUUCCGCUUCCAGUUGACCAAUCCCUUUGCAGUAGAAGCACUUAGUCUCAGGCUUAGGACCAGACUUAGGCUUCUUCACUUGAGCAGCAACUUGCUUGCCGUUAUUUUUGAAGUUCCCCUUCUUCCCUUUGCCCUUUUCUUGAAACUAGUGGUCUCAUCAACCAUCAACACUUGAAGUGGUCUCGUCAACCAUCAACACUUGAUGUUUUUCUUGAUUUCUACCUUCGUCGAUUUCAUCAGCAUCAUGAAGAGCUCGGGAAUUACUUUCGUCAUCGCUUGCAUACCAUAGUUCAUCUCGAAGUUCUACUAACUUGGUGAUGGUGACUAGAGAAUUCUGUCAAUCACUAUUUUAUCUGGAAGAUAAACUCCCACUUGAUUCAAGCGAUUGUAGUACCCAGACAAUCUGAGCACAUGUUCACUAGUUGAGCGAUUCUCCUCCAUCUUUUUGCUAUAUAACUUGUUGGAGAUUUCAUAUCUCUCAACUCGGGUAUUUGCUUGAAAUAUUAACUUCAACUCCUGGAACAUCUCAUAUGGUCCAUGACGUUCAAAACGUCUUUGAAGUCCCGAUUCUAAGCCGUUAAGCAUGGUGCACUAAACUAUCAAGUAGUCAUCAUAUUGAGCUAGCCAAACGUUCAUAACGUCUGCAUCUGCUCCUGCAAUAGGUCUGUCACCUAGCGGUGCAUCAAGGACAUAAUUUUUCUGUGCAGCAAUGAGGAUAAUCCUCAGAUCACGGAUCCAAUCCGCAUCUUUGCUACUAACAUCUUUCAACAUAAUUUUCUCUAGGAACAUAUCAAAAAUAAAACAGGGAAGCAACAACGCAAGCUAUUGAUCUACAACAUAAUUUGCCAAAUACUAUCAGGACUAAGUUCAUGAUAAAUUUAAGUUCAAUUAAUCAUAUUACUUAAGAACUCCCACUUAGAUAGACAUCCCUCUAAUCCUCUAAGUGAUCACGUGAUCCAUAUCAACUAAACCAUGUCCGAUCAUCACGUGAGAUGGAGUAGUUUCAACGAUGAACAUCACUAUGUUGAUCAUAUCUACUAUAUGAUUCACGCUCGACCUUUCGGUCUCCGUGUUCCGAGGCCAUAUCUGUUAUAUGCUAGGCUUGUCAAGUUUAACCUGAGUAUUCCGCGUGGGCAACUGUUUUGCACCCGUUGUAUUUGAACGUAGAGCCUAUCACACCCGAUCAUCACGUGGUGUCUCAGCACGAAGAACUUUUGCAACGGUGCAUACUCAGGGAGAACACUUAUACUUUGAUAAUUUAGUUAAGGAUCAUCUUAUAAUGCUACCGUCAAACAAAGCAAGAUAAGAUGCAUAAAGGAUUAACAUCACAUGCAAUCAAUAUAAGUGAUAUGAUAUGGCCAUCAUCAUCUUGUGCUUGUGAUCUCCAUCUCCGAAGCACCGUGCUUGUGAUCUCCAUCUCUGAAGCACCGUCAUGAUCACCAUCGUCACCGGCGCGACACCUUGAUCUCCAUCGUAGCAUCGUUGUUGUCUUGCCAACUUAUUGCUUUUACGACUAUCGCUACCGCUUAAUGAUAAAGUAAAACUAUUACAUGGCGAUUGCAUCUCAUACAAUAAAGCGACAAUCAUAUGGCUCCUGCCAGUUGCCGAUAACUCGGUUACAAAACAUGAUCAUCUCAUACAACACAUUAUAUCACAUCAUGUCUUGACCAUAUCACAUCACAACAUGCCCUGCAAAAACAAGUUAGACGUCCUCUACUUUGUUGUUGCAUAUUUUACGUGGCUGCUACGGGCUUAGCAAGAACCGUUCUUACCUAUGCAUCAAAACCACAACGAUAGUUUGUUAAGUUGGUGCUGUUUUAACCUUCGCAAGGACCGGGCGUAGCCACACUCGGUUCAACUAAAGUGAGAGAGACAAACACCCGCCAGUCACCUUUAAGCAACGAGUGCUCCGAACGGUGAAACCAGUCUCGCGUAAGCGUACGCGUAAUGUCGGUCCGGGCCGCUUCAUCUCACAAUACCGCUGAACCAAAGUAUGACAUGCUGGUAAGCAGUAUGACUUAUAUCGCCCACAACUCACUUGUGUUCUACUCAUGCAUAGCAUCAACACAUAAAACCAGGCUCGGAUGCCACUGUUGGGGAACGUAGUAAUUUCAAAAAAAUUCCUACGCACACGCAAGAUCAUGGUGAUGCAUAGCAACGAGAGGGGAGAGUGUUGUCCACGUACCCUCGUAGACCGACAGCGGAAGCGUUAUCACAACGCGGUUGAUGUAGUCGUACGUCUUCACGAUCCGACCGAUCAAGUACCGAACGUACGGCACCUCCGAGUUCUACACACGUUCAGCUCGAUGACGUCCCUCGAACUCCGAUCCAGCCGAGUGUUGAGGGAGAGUUUCGUCAGCACGACGGCGUGGUGACGAUGAUGAUGUUCCACCGACGCAGGGCUUCGCCUAAGCUCCGCAACGGUAUUAUCGAGGUGUAAUAUGGUGGAGGGGGGCACCGCACACGGCUAAGAGAUCUCAAGGAUCAAUUGUUGUGUCUAUGGGGUGCCCCCUGCCCCCGUAUAUAAAGGAGCAAGGGGGAGGCGGCCGGCCAAGGGGAGAGGCGCGCCAAGGGGGGGAGUCCUACUCCCACCGGGAGUAGGACUCCUCCUUUCCUUGUGGGAGUAGGAGAAGGGAAGGGGGAAGGAGAAAGAAGGAAGGGUGCGCCCCCCUUCCCUAGUCCAAUUCGGAGGGUGCGGCCACCUUUUGAGGCCUUUCUCUCCUUUCCCGUAUGGCCAUUAAGGCCCAAUACGAAUUCCCGUAACUCUCCGGUACUCCGAAAAAUACCCGAAUCACUCGGAACCUUUCCGAAGUCCGAAUAUAGUCGUCCAAUAUAUCGAUCUUUACGUCUCGACCAUUUCGAGACUCCUCGUCAUGUCCCCGAUCUCAUCCGGGACUCCGAACUCCUUCGGUACAUCAACAUACAUAAACUCAUAAUAAAACUGUCAUCGUAACUUUAAGCGUGCGGACCCUACGGGUUCGAGAACUAUGUAGACAUGACCAAGACACGUCUCCGGUCAAUAACCAAUAGCGGGACCUGGAUGCCCAUAUUGGCUCCCACAUAUUCUACGAAGAUCUUUAUCGGUCAGACCGCAUAACAACAUACGUUGUUCCCUUUGUCACCGGUAUGUUACUUGCCCGAGAUUCGAUCGUCGGUAUCUCGAUACCUAGUUCAAUCUCGUUACCGGCAAGUCUCUUUACUCGUUCCGUAAUGCAUCAUCCCGCAACUAACUCAUUAGUCACAAUGCUUGCAAGGCUUAUAGUGAUGUGCAUUACCGAGUGGGCCCAGAGAUACCUCUCCGAUAAUUGGAGUGACAAAUCCUAAUCUCGAAAUACGCCAACCCAACAAGUACCUUUGGAGACACCUGCAGAGCACCUUUAUAAUCACCCAUUUACGUUGUGACGUUUGGCAGCACACAAAGUGUUCCUCCGGUAAACGGGAGUUGCAUAAUCUCAUAGUCAUAGGAACAUGUAUAAGUCAUGAAGAAAGCAAUAGCAACAUACUAAACGAUCGAGUGCUAAGCUAACGGAAUGGGUCAAGUCAAUCACGUCAUUCUCCUAAUGAGGUGAUCUCGUUAAUCUAAUGACAACUUAUGUCUAUGGCUAGGAAACAUAACCAUCUUUGAUUAACGAGCUAGUCAAGUAGAGGCAUAGUAGUGACACUCUGUUUGUCUAUGUAUUCACACAUGUAUUAUGUUUCCGGUUAAUACAAUUCUAGCAUGAAUAAUAAACAUUUAUCAUGAUAUAAGGAAAUAAAUAAUAACUUUAUUAUUGCCUCUAGGGCAUAUUUCCUUCAGAUCUCCCCAAGGAUGUCGUCCGGGAGAUCGCUGAUGCGUUCCACCGGAGAUUCUACGGGUUCCUCAGAUCCGGGUGGGGGCGGGGGGCUCGCCGCUUCUCCCCGCGCUGCCAGGUGUGGGAUCUACAACCGGCGUCGCCGCUGGCGGGAGCCUCAUCUUCUUGGCGCUGGGGCCAGCCGACUCCAUUUUCCUUGCGGGUGUCGCGCCGAGCACACGGGUUUGGGCAGAGUAGCCAGAGACGAGCCUAGUGGCAGUGUGAGUGGGGAAGAAGGAGGGCUGGGGUUUUCUGUAGGAGUGGAAAAAGAGGAGCAGGUGUUUUCUGUAUGAGUGAGGAAGAAGGUAAGCGGGGGUUUUCUGUACGAGUGAGGAAGAUGGGGAGCGGGAGAAAUUAGGGGGCGACGAAAGCGGUAGAGUCCGGCGAGCUGCAGUAUAAGUGGAAGUGACGAGUAAGGAGGGUUUUUCUGGGAUCGCUCCCUCUCAAGGAAUAUGGGCUUCUCCUCGCAAAAAACAAAAACAAAUGGGCUUUAAGAUGGAUAGGCUUUUGUAUCAGCCCAGUCGGCUGCCCAUGUUUCGUACUGGUGGGCCUUAACACUAGAGGCAGCCCAUUAGAGACACUCUCCAGCUCUCCAGCUUAUUGCCCAUUCGAAAGAAAAUAAGACAUGCCUCCACCUUAAUUAUGGCUCCUCAUCGGUAACAUUUUUCAACUUGGAAAAAAGUUAUAGCUCCUUUUCGGGACGGCUUGGCAUCCACCAAAUUAGAGGAUGGUGUACUGCAUGCAGACACUCACACUGGUCGUAGCGCGGCAAAAUGAGGGGUCAAAUAACAUGCCCAAAAUGAGGGGUCAAAUGACUAGGGGCUCCCCAGGUCGCUCCCUCGCCUGGUUCGACCGGUUAACCAAUCGCAAAUGCUAUUUCUCGCUUUAAGCGAGUCGCCAAAAAGUGUCGCCGAAGGAUUUUUUUUUUCCUGUACUGUAGUUACUCGGCUCGCCCACCUAAUAAAAAGAAAAGGAGGAGAAAAAGCUAACAAAAUAGGGUUUCGAUUCCUCGCCUCUUGGAUAGAAGCUAGCGCCGGUAGCCACUUCCAAUAGGUCAUGUUCCUCGACGACGUCAAGGCGCGGUCACCUUUAAUGUAAAAGAGCCAAUUUUUUCCAUGUUUUUCUGUUUUAUUCCGUUUUUUCCAGGUUUUUUCUUUUCUUUUGUUUCUUCCCCUUUUUCUUCUCUAGUUAUUCUUUUUCAUUUUUCAUUUUAUUUCCUUUUUCUUCUCCAUUUUUUGUUUGGGUUUCUUUUUCCUUCUCCAUUUUUUGUUUUCCUUUUCCGGAUUUUUUUGGUUUUCUUUCUUUCUUUUUGUCUUUCAUUCUACAUUAUAUACACAUCGUCAACAUCUUUUCAAAUACUUGUUCAACACUUUUCAAGUACUUGUUCAACAUUUUUAAACACUUUGCUCAACAUUUUUUUAUACAUCAUCAACAUUUUUUUCAAAUACUUCUUCAACAUUUUUCAAAUACUUAUUCAACUUUUUUUGGAUGCUUGAUUAAAAUGUUUUUAAAUACUUGUUCAAACAUUUUUCAAAUACAUGAUCAACAUUUUUCAAACGCUUGAUUUAAAAUUUUAAAUACUUGUUCAACAUUUUAUUAAAUGCUUGAUUAACAUUUUUCAAAUACUUGUUCAACAUUUUCGAUGUACUUGUUCAGCAUUUUUUCGAAUGCUUGACCAAUAUUUUUCAAAUACUUGUUCAGCAAUUUGUCCCAAUGCUUCAUCAACAUUGUUUAAAUACUUGUUCAACAUUUUCAAAUACCUUUUCAACAUUUUAUGAUAUGCAUUCAGAAUUUUUCAAAUACCUUUUCAACAUUUUUAGUACUAAUUCAACAUUUUCUAAUACAUGAUCAACAUUUUUUAAAUUUUUGUUCAACAUUUUUUUAAUAACUAUUCAACAAUUUUUGAAUACUUGUGCUACAUUUUUUAAUGUGUUUUUGAAUAGUGUUUUUAUGUAAUAUAUGUAUUUAAGAUAUUAUAAAGUACAAAAUUUUAAAAAAGCAAAAAACGAAAAAAAAAACAGGAAACUGCAGGUGCUUCCCCGCGCGCUUGGGCCGGCCAAUAUGCUCGACUCGCUCAAGGCGAGGAAUAGUCGUGCCCUUGACCAAUGACUUGUUGACCCUUGAAACCGUUGACGAUUCAAUUUUUAAAAUUCAAAAUUUCAUAAAAAGAAAGAAAUAUUGUUCGAAAAUUUUAAAACAAAUUCAUAAAUUUGAAAAAAAAUGUGGAUUUUCGUGAUUUGUCUUUUAAAAAGCCAUGAAAUAUAGGGAAAAUGUUCACAAUUUUGAAAUAAAAUCAUUAAUUUGAAAAUUUUCAUGAAAUUUGUGGAAAAAAGUUCACGGAUUUAAAAAAAUCUUCAGUUUUGAAUGAAAAUUUCACGAAUUAGAACAAAUUUCACUGGAUUUCAAAAAAAAAGUCAAGGUUUGAAAGAUGUUCAUCAACUUUGAAAAAAUAAUCACAAAUUUGAAAAAAUUCAUUGAUUUUGAAAAAAUGUCACUAAUUUGGAAAUAUUGUGAACAAAUAAAGUUCACAAAUUUGAAAAAAGGUUCGCGGAUUUGAGAAAAGUUCAUUGAUUGUGAUAAAAAUAAAUUUCACAAAUUUGAAUAAUGUUAAUCAAUUUUUAAAAAGUUCACAGGUUUAAAAAAAGUUCACGAAUUUGAUAAAGUUCACGAUUUGAAUAAAUUUCCAAAUUUGAUUUUUUAUGUAUUUUAGAAAAUAAAAAAGAAGGAGGAACAAGAAAAAUGAAAACAAAAAGUAAAAACCCGAGUGAAAAAACAGAUGAAAAAUUGGACAAACUAAAAAAGUCUAGAAGGCGCAGAAUAAGAAGCAACAGAAGUAUUAGAACGCAAUAGUAUGUGAGCCGUCCGAGUUGGUUACUAAAUUUGGAAGAAAACGGUGAGGUUCUGAGUUCGAAUCUCAAGACCCGUGUCACCUUAUGAAGGUUGAAAAAGAAGAAAAAUGGGCCGAGCUCAGGAUGCGGAGGGUGUGCGCCGAUUUGUUCAGUUGCCUUUAAACUGGAGCAGGGGAAGGGAGUGUCGUUCUGCUGCUGACUAUCUUGUAUGGGCUUCUUCGAUCCCGGCAGCAGGGGCACAAUCAGGAACAAGUUUGAUGAGGAUAAUGGUAUGUCAGAGGAUGAUACCGAUCCAGGUGCAGCGACCAAGAGUAAUGAGCUUAGAAAAAUUCAGAACGCCGCACCCCAUGCCUAAGUCAGGAUCCACCUUGUGAUGCUACCGAUGCGUCGAACUCCCUAGCAUAUUUUAAAUUUUUAGAAAAAAUAGCACAUUUACACAAUAUAAAUGUAUGUUGUCACAAAAUUUCAAAUUAAAAUUUUAAAAUAGUGUAUGUUGUCUCAAAAUCUCAAACUAAAAUUUAAAACAUAGCUCAGAAAACAAAAUGACAAAUUUGAUACUAAAUAGUACUCCCUUCGUCCCAAAAUUCUUAUCUUAGAUUUGUCUAGAUACGGAUGUAUCUAACACUAAAACGUCACUAUACAUCCGUAUUUAGACAAAAUUAAGACAAGAAUUUUGGGACGGAGGGAGUACAUAAAUAAACUGGGCUUUUGAUUUGGCCUCUUGUCACAUUGAUGUCUAAUUAAUCAUUUGUGUAUCUCGAGCAGUGUUUUGAAUUUUGAUAUGAAAUUUUAUAAUAAUAUACAUUGAUGUUGCGUAGGAGGAAAAAACCCUCGGGUUUUCGGGGCAUUGCAUUCUCACCUAUCUCUUCAUACUCAAGCGACAUUCUCUCUUCUAUUUUGUUGACCCUCACUUUCGCGGUUGCUUCUCUCUAAGGCGGACACUGUCCUAUCAAUGCAUUUUGGCAUCCCACACCUUCAGCAGAUCACUUAGCCCCCUUUCAUAGCCUAUCUCUCUCUGAAAGGCCUCUGAUUUCACGAUCCAAUUUGAAAAGCUGGCUGACAAUUGUAGCUCUAGCUGAAAGAAAUUUCCCCACUCAAGUCAGGCCCUGGAAAACCAACCAAAGAAUGGAAGGAGUGCGCGAUGGAGGCCCUCGUAAAUCAAAUUAUAAUCUGAACUAUAGCCAGGGCAAAUCUCUUGAUAUCGGAGGCUGGUUUCUAGGCAUAGGAGCCGUCAAAGGAAAGGCUAGAAGCCUUGGCUUUGAUGCACCCCGACUGUACAAAAAGGAUCAGAGGUCAAAUUAGUUAACCAAUUAUGAUAUUUGUGAAAGAUAAUGAAGCUUCAUUCCCUUGCAAGCUGAUAUGGCGUCUGGAGAACCCAGCUAGCAGGUUUUGCAGCGACCCUCCCAGAGAGCAUAUAACAAGGAAAAAUCUGGUUUUGGAAGCUGAGCCUAAGGGACCAUUAACAACAAUCCGACAGUAACCACUGCGACAGUAAACGUCCUACUCUCAACAAGGAUCGCAGCAUCAAACAUCUGAACCAACGACAAUCUCAAACCAACAAAAAGCAGAAAUCCGAGCAGCCACAGACGAGGCGAAAAGCCCACAGAAAGUAAGAGAGUUAAUAGAGUUAUCUCUCUAUUAAGGCAAACACAAGUACUGGACUGAACGAUUUAUAUAUUCUUCACAAACCACAACCAAAAAAGAGUACUUGAUUAGCAACUCCAUUACAGAUACUAGUUGAUGCGGAAAACAGAAGGUAACUCAUGUCCAACUAACAUGAACCAGGCGUCGUCUGGCGACGCCAUCCACAUUUAUUCUUCGCAUAGACAAAGCAGGGACACCUCUGACCAGGCGCCACAAAGGAAAGCAGAGCACUCUACUGAGUCUUGGCCAUGUGGCGGAUCAGGUCGACAACGCGGUU
rnacentral:lncRNA from 1 species